AAAAAAAAAAAAACGUAUAAAUCUAAUUAAUAUAUAUAUAUACACGCGCGCGAAAUCCAAUGAAAUAAUCAAGAAGCUUAGUGGUAAAAUUAAGAACCUCACAAAAAACCUUUUACCUUUUAAAUUCCAGCCGUUGGCCAACGUUCAUAGUCUCUCUCCCCCUCUCUCUCAAUCAAAACAUCAAGCAGAAGGGGAGCGGCAGCAAUGGAGGGAGGGAAGUCGAACAGGAAAUCUAGUGCUAUUUCUCUUCAACAGUUCAUUUCUACCAUCGCCCCUUUAAUCGAUUUGGAAAAGGCACACUCUCACUCUCUCUCUAACCUGUGUAAGUAAGUUAGGUAUUAAGAGUUAAUUUAUUGAAUCAAUUUUGGUUAUUAUAUAGGAUGCGGAGAUAUCCGGUUCAAUCAGUUCAGGAUCGUUGCGGAAUUUGGAUACUGCUCAAAAAAGGGGUUCCACCAUUCUUAAUUUGAAAUGUGUUGAUGCUCAGGUCGCUUUUUAUUGAUUUAUUUAUUAUUUUAUUAUUUGCUGCUCCCGUUUGGCUGCCCAGAAAUUGCAGGAAAAUUAUCCUAUUCAACUCCUCCCGCUUUUAUCAUGUGUUUCAAAAUUUUCUUUUAUUUUCAUGUAAUUUCUUGGCAUCCAAAUGUGAUGUAAAUUACUUAGGUUUUGUUGUGACUGACUUGCUACUUUUGGUUUUGAUAAUAGACUGGGCUAAUGGGUAAGACACUUCUUGAGUUUCAGUCUACUAAAGGAGAUGUUCUUCCCGCUCACAAGGUGCUUUCCUUUGUUGAUUUUGUUGUACCAUUCUGAAUUUACAUGUAAUCACUGCUUAAAAAAUAUUCCAAAUUAAUUGUGCACAGUGUACAAUGGAAAAUAAUUUUAGUCGAUGUGUACAAUUACUUCUGAAUCUGCCAAAAAUAAUAUUAUCUCAAAAUUUGAAUGUGUUGAAUGAAAAGGAUCUGUCCCCUUUAAGUGCUAUCUCAUCUAAAGUAAAUCCAUAGAAGAGUGACAAGCAUCAAUUAUUUUAUAACAUCUACAAUUGGGAUAGAUAUUCUUUGUGAUGUCCCCAAUGGAUGAUUUUCUUUCAUUGCUCCUUGUUUCAAUUUAUUAUUAUUUAUUAUUAUUAUUAUUAUUAUUGUUCUUGUUCUUGUUGCAGUUUGGGACUCAUGAUGUGGUUGUUUUAAAACCAAACAAGGCUGAUUUAGGGUCUCCUGCCCUUGGACAAGGUGUCGUUUACCGCCUCAAGGUCAAUCUGGAUUUGAAACAAAUUAUUGUCACAUGUAUUGGUAGCAUUGUUGUUUGUAAUGGAAAAUCAUCCUGCUCUUCUAAUUUGUGGAUUGGGUGUGUGACUUGGCAUACAUUUUGAACAGGACUCAUCAAUCACUGUUGCUUUUGAUGAUAUUCCAGAAGAGGGUUUAAAUAGUCCUUUGCGCCUUGAGAAAGUGGCAAAUGAGGUGUGGAUUUUUUUUUUGGUCUUUCUACUAAUGAUACUUUAUUGAUGCCUUCACUUGAUAAGUUCUCAAAGAAUUGGACAUCAAACACUAGUUUUAAUUUUUUCCAUUUUUCCAAAUCAUUUUUUUAUGUCUAUUUUUUUUUUUUUUUUGUGUAAAUUGGUAGUCACAACUAAAAAAAUUCGCAGAAGGGAAAGUGAUAUUAAUUGUUGAUGUGUCUGGAAUGAUCUAGUUUUUGUUUGCGUGUCUUUCAAUCUUCGAUUUUAUUAUGCUGUCCUUGAUUAAGGCUGCAUGCUAAAUUUCAUAUUGUAGGUGACAUAUCGUAGAAUGAAGGAUGCCCUGGUACAACUGAGUAAAGGUGUGCACAAGGGACCUACUGCUGAUUUAAUUCCAGUAUUAUUUGGAGAGAGACCUCCAACAGUGUCAAAGAAGGAUGUUACGUUCACCCCAUUUAAUUCCAACCUCGAUCGCUCUCAGGUGUUUAAAUUUAAGUUUUCAUAUUCCCUUCUAUGGAAACACAAAAUUUACUAUCUAGACAAUUCAUUAUGGUUUAAAUGUAUUUUGUUCAUAGCAAUUUUGCUGCUUGUACAGUGAUUGCACCUGUUCACUGAAGACAACCAAAAAGUAAAACAGAUGUGCACUGUUCUGAAAUUUCUAAAAUGAAGUGGAUGAUUUUCUUCAAAACUUUGUAAUUGUUUUCUCCAACUGUCAUAUAUUUUUUCUCACUUUGUUUUCUCAUUGGAUGGGUUUAUGGUUGAUAUAGCCUUUUUUGACAUGUCGAUCAUGGAUGGUCACAUGGUUUCCCAUUGAUCGGAGAUUGCAAUAGAUACACAGUUUGCAUAUUUAUUAUCAUGUUUAUGGAGUAUUACACUUAUUAUAGUUAGAAAGAUUUUUUUUUUUUUGUAUUUGUUUAAAAUCCCAAAAUGCUAUGGAAUUUUCAUCACUUGUUUCCAGAAAUUUUUGGAUGACACAUAUGUUGAAAGCUAUUUAUUUCCAUGGAACUUUGCAGAACGAGGAAUUUUAAUGAAGUUUUAGCUGUAUUUGGCAAUGAAAUAAAUCAACUUCUCAAAUAUGUUGUUAAUUUAUAAUGUCAAUGAUGUUCUUCUCCCCAUCUUUCAUUUCUCCAGAACUGAGUGCACUUGCAAAAAACAUUAAUAUUUGGAUGUGUUAAGUCCUUUAUAUUAACAUUAGGAAUUUGACUUGUAACUUUGUGUUCAUUAAUUAGUUUGUUGACCAUUUCUUGAACAGUUGGGUGAAUGUAGAUGAUUAGAGAUUAAGGCUCUGAUUUGGCAUAUCUCACUUGGUAAAUUCGUGGGGCCAUUUAUGCUGGUUUAAAUUUUUGAUUGAAAAAUAUAUCAUUGUGACUCUUGUUGUCUUGGAGAUUGAUUCUAUGUAUAGGCAUGGGUUCAUGUAUGCUUAAAUAUUUGUCUUUAUUUGCUAAGCUCCAUGUGUACUUAAUUUUUCAGAAACUAAUGCACAUUCUCUUUCAUUUAUUUAUUUAAAGAAAGAUGCCAUUUCAAAGGCCCUGUCAUCCAAGAAUGUAUUUUUGCUGCAUGGGCCUCCUGGAACUGGAAAAACCACAACUGUUGUGGAAAUUAUCUUACAAGAAGUGAAACGGGGGGCAAAGAUUCUUGCUUGUGCUGCUUCAAAUAUUGCCGUUGAUAACAUUGUCGAGCGACUUGUCCCCUAUCGGUACGGUAGUCCUUUAAUUUAUGUAUAAACUCUUUCUAGUUAAAGCCUGAAGGUAUAUGUUCUAGUCUCCAUUGAAGAACUGUUGGUAUAAUAAAUGGAUAUUACAUUACACUGGUUUCUUUUGAUGUUCUCAUGCAAAUAUGAACAAAAAUAUUGUUCAAGUAAUUAGGGUGCCAAAAAACUUGUUAUCCGUUGAAUAACCAAUUUUCCUAAUAGUUUAAGCUUCUAGGAUUUGAGCCAUAAUGUAUAUCUUGCACUCUAACAACCUUUCGCAUGUAACAUCAAUUUUUGGGGUUACACUUGGGCUUAAUAAACUGAUACCAUGCUGAACAACCAAUUUUCCUAAAAGCUUAAGCUUAUAGGAUUUGAGCUCAUAUUGUAUAUCAUGUACUCUAAUAUUAUCCUUUUCAUCAUCCUAUUUCUGGUUCUGUUUAUUUGGCAACCAUGGUUACAUCAUGUGCACCCUCCCUCACAUUGUUUAUUUGCACUAUAAACAAUGUAGUCUAUUUCAACUUCUUUAAUCUGGGGACUAUUCUAUAUUUGUGGAAACUAUUCAUCAAAUAGUAAUCUAAAAUAGCUAAAAAUACCAACUUUUUGUGGACUAGCUAUGUUUCAGAUAGAUGUGAAGCAAGACUGCUCUAGGCACCAUUCCAUAUUCAAAUAGCUAAAAUUACUGAACUUUUGUGGGACUAGCUAUUUCGAUUAUAUGUGAAGUAGGUUUGCUUCACUUGCAUUCUGCUGUAUUUUGUUUGGACUCUCAUCUUAACUAAUGUACAUGCAACUAUGUUCCUCAUUGACUGAUGAAGACCUUUGAUUCCACUUAUGUUCUUAAUUCUAGGCUUGUUGCCAAACAGUCAAGUUAACCUUAUCAAAUGUGAUGGCCUCAUGUAUUAACUAUUAAUCCAAAACUUAGAGAAGAAUUCUUUUUAUAAGUUAUCAGUUUGCAUAUGUCCAUCAGUUCAUGAUUAAGCUUAGUCGCUUGUUUUCUGUGUCAUUUUUUCAUUAGAGUAAAGUUGGUGAGGUUGGGGCACCCUGCACGUUUACUGCCUCAAGUUCUGGAGAGUGCAUUGGAUGCGCAGGUAAUAAUCACCUUUAUUUUGCAAAGAAAAAACUUGGAUAAUGAAAUCUUAUUUUUUGGAUAGUGGUUAAGAUGUGGAUUUUAUAAUGUGAAAUGUGUUGAUAAGUCAUAAACAUUUCUAUAUAGGGACCAAUAAGUUUUAUCAAAUUUUUGUAGGACCAUACAUUAAUCUUUGAAAGUAUAUUUUUGGAUUUGUUUGGACUUUUUCUAAUGAAGUCAAAUACCAAUUGUGCCAACCUUUGAAAAUGUCUUAUAUAUUUCUUUACUAUCAACUUUCUGAAAACUUCAUAAUAUAAAAAUAAUAAAGAAAUCAUCCACUACUAAAAAAUUUGAAAAGUUUAUCAUGUAAUAACAUAUUUGAAACAAACUUGUCCAUAACAAUGGGGUGUUCAUAAGAAAUUUGUUUUUCGGCUAAAACAUGGGAAUGGUAAAAUUUUAACUAACAAUGUUGAAGGGUAAUAAGAAUUACGAAAGAACUUUAAAGUUACAUGGAAAAGAAUUUUCAAAAAAUUGAUGGAUCAUACUUGCAUUCAAGGAAAAAGUGGAAUUUUAUGUACUUUUCCCUUUAUAUAUGCUAAUUCGGGUUGCAUGAUUUGCAUGAUUCUGGUGUUCAUCCUUUUUCCUGUGAGCACGCCAUGAGAGCUUGUAUGAGCAUAUGCAGAUUGAGUCUAUAUUUGCAUCCUCAUUCUUUCUGAAAGUAAUUUAGCAUCUGAUCUUAUUCCUUUUCCUGGUUAAUAGAACAUAUGCAUAAGACAUCUUUUCUCCCAUUCAUGAUUUAUAAGCUUUCUUUUCUAUAUCUUAUGGUUACUGAUUAAUUCAAAUGUAUCUGGGGUAUUUCCCCUUUUUACUUUUUUCAAUGCUGGCUUUUGGUAUAGAUGAGAUUUCUUUUUCCCUAGAAAUACUGAUUUUCCGUUAAUUAUUUGUCCACCUCUGAGCCAUUGUUUACUUCAUAUACUUACUUACUUGGUUCCUGUUAGGUUCUGCGAGGGGAUAAUACUGGUCUUGCGAAUGAUAUUCGGAAGGAAAUGAAGGUAAAGAUUCAGAGAAAAUUUGAAGUCAUUAAUUGCUUCAUAAUAUCCAGCCAUGUUUGCAGUUUCAAAUUGAUGUUAUCUUACCUAUAUUGCAUGAUGAUGCCUUUGUAUAAUCUUUAUUGGUUAAUAAUAUCAGUGGAUAAUAAUUGAAUGUUAUAAUAACAGUAUCCAAUCUCACUUAUUUGGUAAACACUUCACUUAUCAAGGCUUGAUAUAUGAGCCUUACGUUCUAAGGGAUGUGAUUCUGGAGCUUAAUUCCUAGAUUUUUUAUUCUUCAAUCUCCUUGAUUUUGGAAGUCUUACUCAAGCUAAUUGGACUAGUUUAUGUAACUCCAUGAGCAACCUUUGGCUUCAGUGUGGAGUGUGGAGGAAAAUUUUUGGCCUUUAAGUAGCGUUAUAUAUAUUUCCUUGAAUCAUUAAUUACUUGGUUCCGUCCUUUGUUAUUGCUAUGACGCCACUGCAAUAUUUCUAUUCCAUAUGAAUUUUACGUUUUUGUUUUUUUCAGAGAUGAUUUUUUUUUAUAAAUAAACAUGAAGUAUAUUAUCAAAAGGCAAACAGCCACAAGGCAUACAAGAUGUAUACAAGGUAGCCUAAACCUCUAAGAGCAAGUUUUGAAACAAAAAACCUAUAAGUGAAGAGGACUCUUCUCCAAUAUACAAUCUAGCCCAACUCCAUAAGUUACAUACAAAAGAAUUUUUGAGUUUCUGUACUGCUAAAGAACCCCCCCUAAAAGCUAAUCUAUUUAUUUCCUUCCAAACCGUCCACAAAAUACACAACAUAAUGGAUUUUCAAAUUUUUUUCCUUUUUUUGCCCACAAAAGGGCCAUUCCAGCUAAUUAACACAUCUUUUACUGUUUUUGAGAAAACCCACUGAAUGCCAAACAAGACAAAGACAAUCUCCCAAAGAACUCUGACCACUCUACAGUGUAAAAGUAUAUGAUUUACAAUUUCUUCUUCACAGCCACACAAAUAACAACGAUUUGGGAGCUGCCACCCUCUUUUUUGGAGUCUAUUUAGGGUAAGAACCUUCCCCCAAGUAGCCUCCCAAGCAAAAAAAGCAACUUUGGUUGGGACUCUAGCCACCCAAAUGCAAUUUUUUGGGAAAGAAAUGUCAUUAGGUGUAAUCAGCAAUCUGUAUGCUUCCUUAACACCAACUUUCCAUUUCUCCCACCCUUCCAAGUAACUGAAUCUUCCUCCAAAGUUAGCCUGUAGCCCCUCAAAACAGUUAAUAAGUCUCCUACCAAAUCCAGCUCCCAAUCAUUAAAUGCUCUAAUGAAACUUAGAUUCCAUCCUCCCUGUCCAAAAUUCGGAUCCCAAACUUCAUCCACCGUUGCAUUCCUAUGGACAACCAAAGCAUAUAAUUGGGGAAAACUUUGGGACAACGCUGCAAGGCCACACCAAUGAUCAGUCCAGAAUCUAAUUUUAGUACCAUUACCAACUGUGAACUCUAUAUUUUCCCAACACCAAUUUGUUUCCUUCAAAAUCUCCUUCCAAACCCCCACUCCAAACGUCCCAUUAGCCUCAUUUGUCCUUCAACCAAGGCCCUCUUGCCCAUACUUCACUAAAAUCACCUUCUUCCAAAGGUUUUCCUUUUCAAAGGCAAAUCUCCAUAUCCAUCUGCCAAGCAAGGCCUUAUUCAAAAGUGCUAGCUUCCUUAUGCCUAGCCCACCCUUCUCCUUAUCCACACACACCACCUCCCAUUUAACCAAGUGGGCUUUCCUCUCCAAGGUUCCCCCUCCCCAUAGAAAAUCUCUUUGUAAUUUUUCUAAUCUUCUUGCUACUACCUUGGGCAUUCGAAAUAGAGACAUCUGGUAGAUGGGCAUACUAGCCAUUCAGAGAUGAUUUUUGAUGCAGGCAAUUGCGUUGUUAGAACUUAAGGGCAGUUCUAUAGUUCAUUAAAAUCAAAUAAUUAAUAUAAUAUAUUUCUUCCAGCAUUAGUUGCUUGCUCACACACUUUGAUUGGAAUUCUUGUUGGGUAGAGAAUCUGGGUCUGUUCAGAAUUGGAGACCUGUCCUAGUAACUGUGAACUUCAGAUUCCAAUAACUGUGUUUCAGUGAGCACAGAGAAGAUAUAGAUUCUGUUCUCUGUUAACAUUGUGGCAAUAUGGGCUGAAUUUGAAUUUCUGUUAUUAUUAGCAUACAGUGAAUGAUCCAUGGAAAAAAUCAAUUGAAACUUUGGGUUCCACACAGCCUCACAUAGUGCAAUAGAGCACAGGCAUGCAGGGAGCUUGAUGUACUUAUGUUAUUGUAGGAUGAUAUGUUAGGAAGGAACUCUCUUUUCUCUCUCUCUCUCUCUCUAUAUAUAUAUAUAUAUAGAUAUGCAUGUAUGUAUGUAUGCAUGCAUGCAUGUAUGUAUGUAUGCAUGCAUGCGUACUCUCUGCUUCAUGGGGCCAUGAUAGAAGCCCUAACUGCAGACAGACAUGACCUUCUUUGCCAUAUAUCCCUGAGCUCCAGGAUAAAACAAAGCUGAGGUGCGGAACUAGAACUUGGAGACAGAGUGACUGAUCUGCCAGACUAGCAAGGUUCUAAGGCAAAAUUGAGCUGAGCCACAGAACACCAGGCUGCUGGAUCUCAGGAGCUCAGGACCUGCAGGCUCAGUACAGCUAGAAAAAUGAAAAAUGGAUUACAGACCUGAAGCUCAGAACUACUGGGGAGAGAUCAGCAUUCCAAAUUUUGCUGACUGCCAUCCAACAUGACACCCGGCCAUGCAAGUGCCAAUGAUUGAAAGGGAACUCCCAGAUGGAGAUACAAACACAUAGGGGGAGAAUGGCCUGUUUGAGGAGAGACCCCAUAGAAGAAGUCAUAUGAAGGGAACCCCCAUCCAACAUGACACCCAGCAUGCAAGUGCCAAUCUCCUUAUAACCUUCCAUAACCCAACCCCGUACACACCUCUCACCUUCUUAGAAGACCAACUCCCUUCAUUCUCCCCAUUGUGGGUUAAAGUACAUGAUAUACAUUUUGGGCCUAAAUCCUGCAGGCUUAAGCUUUUAGAGAAGUUGGUAGUUCAAUGCAACAUGUAGCGAGAAUUGUUCAGGAUCAUCAAAAAAUUGCUUAGCUCUCUAGCCUGUCAGAUGCCUAAAUUGAAGGUUAAACUGACUCAGAAACAUGGUGUGAGUCCAAAUUAAUACUUGGGUUUGAACCUCUGAAAAGGCCCUUUUGAAUUUUACUGGGAAAGCAGGUGGUACUUUCCUUUUUUUCAGAAUCACUUUAUUUCUAUAAAUUGCUAGAAAAAAAAAUCAUCUAAGGAAUGCAUGUGUUGACAGUGGGAGUCUAACCAGGAAUAAUUCUUUCCUGAAGUUGACUUCUAAAGGAUUUUCAUCUUAGAGGUUGAGAAGCAGUAGUUCUUUACUAUUUUUUUCUUCAGAAGAUGCUUUGAAGUUGGGCAAUAUUCUCUAAAUGCUCCUAUAUAUAGUUGUCACAAUUGCAAAUCAAAAGGCCUUCUGUGUAAAGAACUGACUAGCCCCAAGGCAAAUAUGACAUGGUGGACUUUGAUUGCAAAAGGACAAAAGGCAUAUAUAUAUAUCACAUCCUCAUACUGGAAACCAUUCCUUUUAAUGGUUGCUUAAAAUUGUGAGUGAAUUAUGAGGCUCAUGUCUAGGAAGUUUCUUCAAUUAAUCUAUUACUUUUGUCCCAUUAUGUUUUAUUUAUAUGGUGAUCAUGUACCUGGUGAGUUCUUCUUUCAGGCAUUGAAUGGGAAGCUAUUGAAGACCAAAGACAAAAAUACAAGGAGGGACAUCAGAAAAGAGCUUAAGACUCUUUCUAAAGAGGAGCGUAAAAGGCAGCAGCUUGCUGUGACGGAUGUAAUUAAAAACGCAAACGUGGUCUUGACAACUUUAACUGGUGCGGUUUCUCGGAAGCUAGAGAACAUCUCAUUUGAUUUGGUAAUUAUUGAUGAAGCAGCACAAGCGCUUGAGAUAGCAUGUUGGAUAGCUCUACUAAAGGUAACAGUCUGAGGCACACAUGCAAGUGCAUUUUUAGCUGUGCAAAGCACCUCACAUGGUCAGGCAUGUGAGCUGUGUUUGGACGCAUAUUUUUCUCUUGCUACUGAAAUAGAAGUGUUCUUAACAAAUGCAUUGAUGUAAAAUGUGCAUUAAUCCUUAAAUUGUUGGACAAAGACAAGAAAAUCAAAGACAAGCAUUUAUUGAAAAUUGUAAGUCACCUUGGCCAUUGAUGGGAAAAGUUUUAAACUUUAAAAGGUGGUUUCUUUUGGUUUGAAACUUUAUCUUUUGGGGAAAAAAAAAUUAUUUAAUAAAAACUCAAUGUAAAAUUAUUAAUUAUAAGUUAUAACCACUCACAAGUUUGAGUUUGCUGUUUCAGGGUUCAAGGUUUCUAUUGGUUUCCGAAACUUCUUUUUUUUGGAAUUUUCUUUUCAGAAAUUCCUAUGCCGGAAAUAUUAAUUAUUUUCAUUUGUUGUUUAUUGGACAAGCAAAUUUCCUAAAACCUUAAGCAAUCUGUGGAUUCAAUAAAUUGGGGAAAUAAACAUGCCAAGAGGUUCAAAUACAUGACCUCCCGCCAAACAAAACUUUGGCACCAUAUUGAUAACCGAUUUUCCUAAAAGCUUAGGAAAUAAACAUGUUAGGAUUUAGACCCUAGCAUGCUCUCUCCCGCCAAACAAAACUUUGGCACCAUAUUGGAUAACCGAUUUUCCUAAAAGCUUAGGAAAAUAAACAUGUUCGGAUUUAGACCCUAGCAUGCUCUCCAAUGUUGUUAAAUGUAUUCAAACUCUCCAACCUCAUACAAAUCUCAAUUUUCUGUUUCUGGGUUAGUUUUUUUGAAACUUUUGCUUGUGGGAUUUUUUUUUUUUAAAUGAAAACCCAAUACUAAAAGAAAAUUAUUCUCAUUUGUUGUUGAACAUGUUCAAACCCUCCAACCACUAUCAAUCUUUUUUAUUUUUUAUUUUUAUAUAUAUAUUAGAAACAAGAGAUAUAUUAAGUUUGAAAAAAGUGCAAGAGAAGGAUGAGAGGUCCUCCCCCACAUAAUACAGAGAACUAAACAAAACAAGACUAAACACCUUUGCUAUACAAGGAGCACUAUACACAUAGGCGUACACAAAUCUUCUCAAGAUCGGAUUCAAAACCUCUCAAUGUUAUCCACCCCCUUUGAAUUACAAACCGAAAGCCAACUGAGUUGAAUAACAUUGAAUGGAAUACCUCUAAAACUGACGGUACAAGAGGCCUCCAACCACUAGCAAUCUUGAUUUGCUCUUCCAGGUUUCAAGAUUUCUAUUGGUUUUUUUGAAAUUUUGUUUCUUUUGGGAAAUUUUUUCCUAAUGAAAACCCAAUGCCAAAAGUUAUUAGUUAUUCUCAUUUGUUUUGAAACGUGUUCAAACCCGUCAAUCACUUUUUUUUGUUUCAGGGUUCAAGGUGUAUACUUGCAGGAGACCAUCUUCAGCUUCCUCCAACCAUCCAGAGUGUUGAGGCCGAGAAGAAAGGCUUAGGAAGAACCCUCUUUGAACGCCUUGCUGAUUUGUAUGGUGAUGAAGUCAUGUCUAUGCUAACUGUACAGUAUCGCAUGCAUGAGCUUAUUAUGAACUGGUCAUCUAAAGAGCUAUAUAACAGUAAGGUGCUCACUUCAUGCCUCAAUAUUAAACCACAUAGUAAUAUUGUUUAAUUGAUAAUGAGUAACUAAAACUUUAAUUUUGGGACAAUGACAAAAGGCGUAUUAUCCUGAUUUUGUGUGUUUAUGCUGAUGAGCGUGUGUGAGAUAUUUUACAGAUAACAGCCCAUCCAAGUGUUGCUGCACACAUGCUUUCUGAUCUUGAGGAUGUAAAGAAGUCUUCUUCAACAGAAUCAACCCUUCUUCUCAUUGACACAGCUGGGUAUGCUGUAUGCAGUCUCCUGUUGCUAUUUGCUAGGUUUCUCAAAACAAUAGCUUGAAUUAGUUAAGAGGGUGUUUGGAAAGAUAUGAAAUGAAAUAUCUCCAGUUUUUGUAGGAUUUGAAAUGACAAAAUCAUCAUUUAGAGCUAUAUGAUAAAGAAAUUAUCAGCAAGGUAAUAGAAAUUUGAAAUGCUUAGAGGUGCCUUAAGUAAGUUUACGAAAAUAAGGAUUCCUUUCAAAUGCUAGAAAUGCCUUUUUUCACAUGGUUUCCAAGUACCACGGAGAACUUUUGCCUUGUGUUCUGUUAUAAUUUUUGGAUGCUGACAUGUUUCAGGUGUGACAUGGAAGAAAAGAAGGAUGAAGAAGAUAGCACAAUGAACGAGGGUGAAGCUGAGGUUGCUAUAUCCCACGCAAAAAGACUUGUCGAUAGUGGAGUCCAAGCUUCUGAUAUUGGAAUUAUCACCCCUUACGCUGCGCAGGUACAACAGUUUCCUUACUUAAUUUUAAAUAAAUCCAUAUUGGCUUGAGCUUUACAGACCAUCAAACAUUGUCUAGAAUUAAUUGCCACCAGAUUAAUUGGAGUCUGGGAUCUAAUUCAAUUUUUACAUGCUCAUACCACAGAACUAGUUGUUAAUUUAUAUUCCAACUAUUGUAGGUUGUCUUGCUGAAGAUGAUGAAAAAUAAUGAUGACAAGCUAAAGGACAUGGAAAUAUCAACAGUUGAUGGAUUUCAGGGUCGAGAAAAGGAAGCCAUUAUCAUUUCAAUGGCCAGGUCAAACCCAAAGAAAGAGGUAUUUCUAGCUUCUUUGAUAAUAUUAUUGUCAAAAAUCUCAAUCAGCAUCAUGGCUGAAGUAUAGAGAGAAGAAUUCAAUUUAAAAUUUUUUUGCUUGAUGUUUUAGGUAGGAUUUCUGAGUGAUAGGAGGCGAAUGAAUGUGGCUGUGACACGAGCAAGGAGACAGUGUUGUCUUGUCUGUGACACGGAGACAGUGACCAGUGAUAAGUUUUUGAAGCGAUUAAUUGAAUAUUUUGAGGAGAAUGGAGAGUAUUUAAGUGCUUCAGAGUAUGGCCAUGAAUAAACAGAUAGACUGGGACUAAGGUUCUAUCCAAAUCUGUCAAGGGUCAUCAGUUUUUUUUUUGCUGCAUUUGGUGAUUUGAAGACUUAGAUCUGGGAAAUGGUUCCCAAAUCCUGAGACCUCUGAUGAUUUAUACCUGGAGCGACAGUUUGUUGAUAUUCUCCAAAAUGGAGAGAAAAUUGCGCUUCAUUUUGUUUAAUAGCAAAGUUAUCUGGAAAAUAGAUGGUUAAACAAACCAUCUUCAUUUGUAUUAUGUUAAUUACCCUGGAACAUUAUUUUUACCUGGUAAUAGUAUGCUUUGUCAGUGACGCUCACUUUAUCUGAUUUUAUUUACUUACAAGAUAUGUGCCUAGUAGUUGGAUUGCCCCUGUAACUUAAGCCUUUCCUUCAUGGGAAGUAUUACAUCUGGAAUUAUAUUAAAUGUGGGUGGGCCAGACUUGUCAAAAUAAAUAAAUAAGUAAAUAAAUGUGGAUGAGCCAGCUAGUUUUGACUCUAUUGGAAAUCUUACAGUAAGGUUUGAUCUCCUCAUCAAGGGUGGCAGGGAUGGCGAAAGAAAAAGGAAAAGGUGGAGUCAACUACAAACAUCUGUCGUUAAUAUGGGAAUGGUCCCAAGUGCACAUGGGAAUAUUUCCUCUGAAAGGGGUUUUGCAUCUUGGAAAUAAUGGAACAGGCCCCAUGUAAUGUGGUACACUUCUAUUUCAUCAGAGUUUGAACUUCAGUCUUAUAAUCUUUUUCCUGUGAAAUAUACCCACUCACUGUUUACUGGUUGUAUUUUGUAAAUGGGCAGGUUUCAGACUAGAAAAUUUUAUUUAGCCACCACCAGAGAAAUAUGGAUUCCAGGUAACAUCCUGUGUCUUUAGUUCAUUUUAAUGUGUUUGAUUUUCAAUUGUUGCACUAGUUUAUUUGAUAAGCAAGGUUUUUUUGGCACAAUCCAUAGGAUUAUAUGAUUUUUUUUUUUUGAUAGACAAUCCAUAGGAUUAUAUGAUGAAAAACAAUUUUCUUCUAUUCACCCAAUGGAUUGCCUCAAGUAGACAGCCCCACAUCAAUAAUAGGCAGAUUAUUUGUAACAUGCUUCCUAGCAAGCUGCCUUUGUUGAGUAAGAAACAAAAUCAAAGAAAAAGCACUUAAUUAAAGACAAAGCCCCUAUUGGCAAAUGAACAUAUUCAAUUAAUGUCCUCUUCCAAUCUUAAGUACUAUAAUGAACUCCAAUUUCUGAUCCUCUGCAACCCUAAGUACUACAAUGAACUCCUCUUUCAUCCUCUGCCACUAUAACUACUAUAACUAAGCAUCUCUGUCCCUCUCUAGUGAUCAAAUUGAAACUGACUCUUUUAUGGACCACCAGGAACUAGAUUUAGAACCAACUAAUCUACAGCUUAUUUCAAUGACACUAUUCGACCAAAUGUAACUUCUGUGGUGCAAAAUCCUACUAUACCAAAACCUGCAGAUCCUUUCAGACGUUCCAGAUGUAUGGAGGGAAAGCUGGCUCUUCAUACAGACCAUAACCCUGGAAGUUACUGGCAUCUGCUCCCUGAUGAUCCUCUAUUCCACACAUCUUGAUCAGUGCAUCCAAGCUGAAACUUUCCUCAGCAAAACCCACAAGUUCAUUGUCAUCUUUUAAUGAAGAUUCAGGUGCUGCCAAACUUUCUGUCAUAUUGCUUCCUUCUGACUGACAUUCAUCUCUUGGCAUUCCCAGUUGCUGAAGAAACUCAUUCAGAUCAAUCUGGGGCUUCUCUUCAUGUUCUCCUGGUAUCUGUUCUGGUGAAGAUUCCAUGUCUUUCUCAUUAGUUCCAUGUCUUCAUGGGUUCUGUUAUGGGUUUUGUCAUUCAUGUUUUGAACAUCAGUUUUUGAAUCACAGGAAGAACAAGAAGAAGUGGAUCAAUAACCCCAUUCUUCUUAAGAUCUUCAAGCCUCUGAUGAAUGAGAUGAACACUGGUUUGUGCAUUUAUAUUGAACAAACCACUAGAAGGAAACAUUGAAAUGAAGUUCUUGGAGAGAAACCAUUUUAAAUUCUGAGAUUUGAUUGGUGGGUUGAAGUUACAUUGCAGGUGGGGUAGAUUGAGAUAAGCAUCUGGCCCAUAUAAUAUUCUUGCAGCUUCAUCACAAGCCAUGGUAGCUUUCUCAGCUAUCUUUAAAGAACCCAACCAAAGUCUGGUUCUGUUCUUUCUCUCUCUUAUUUCUCCAACUUUCCCCAGGUUCUUCGCCUAACUCCACACUACUCGCAGGUAGCAUUCUGAGGCCCUCCCUUGUCUCUUGUGGGACCUUUCUUCCAUUGCUUUAAUGGAGAUUUUCUAUUAUUCUCCAUGCUACUGCUGAAGGGGAAGGGAAAGGGUGAGUAAGGAGAGUGAUGGUGGUGGAUUUGGGAAUGCAAAAACUGAGAAGAAAGGCGAGGGAUAUGAAGUUAGUGACAAUGGUCUUUGCUGCCUUGGUUUAAAUGUUGUCACUGUUUGUAGAAACUUUCCAACCCAUGUGACCAUUUGUUUUUUUAAUCAGGUAAUUGCAAGUUCCUAUGCUUUGCUCAUUUCCUUUUUAAUAAAUCUAUUCAUGGAUGCUUGUAUAUAUCUAUCAAUGCACUCAUACAUUAAAUAGUAUCAUGAAACGGUCAAUACAAAAGAGAAUACCAGGGAAUGUUUAAGCAAAAAGGAAAAUGAUUUUUUUUCUUUUACUUUCUUGACCAUAUUAUUUAAAGUCCAAGAUAGGAUCAGGUUUUUCCAGGUGGAGUAGCAUGGGUUGAGUAGUCUGGCCAGUGGGUUCAUGGCAUUUGGCAGAAAGAAAUCCAAGUCAGAUGGUGUUAAGCGUAAAUGGUGGUGACAGAGAUAUUUUGACAUGUUUUGAAUGGAGUCUUUUCACUCAAAAACUCCCUCAGAUUCUCAUCUCUGCAAGUGAGAAGGGUUUUUGAGAGUUGAAUAUUUUAUUGGGUAAAAAGAGGAGAAGCACCUCACAACAUUUUAGAUUUUCACAAGGGCUCUGAUUCACAUGUAUUGCUGCCAUUCACUACUUGAUUCUCUGGACUCGUCUUCUUUAUCCCAUGCCCUAUUCCCUCAUAUAUUCACUCACUAUAUAUAAUUUUGAUACUAUGAUUACUUAGGUGGACAAAUGCAUAAAUCCUAUCACAUGAUGCUCUUUUUAUAACAGCAAUGCUUCUGAUGACGACGACUAUGGCAACAAGGGCGAUGAACUUACGGUGUUGAUAUAUGGCUUUAGCAAUAAGAGGAUAUCAUUAACUUAUAUUUUGUUUGAAAUUAGGAGUACAAGAUAAUAUUGUAAUCAAGAAAUAGUUAUAAUUUUUAUGGGGUUGGCAUUAUGAAAAUGAGAAUCAACCAAAGAGGCUGUUGUAGUGAUAGCAUGUGGUGGGGUUUGACCACAUGAUCUCCCGCCAAAUAAGGCUUUGAAACCAUAUUGAACUAGCAAUUUUCCUAAAAAUUUAAGCUUGCAGGAUUUGAGACUACAAUGUACAUCAUGCACUUCAACAUAAAUAAAUACCAUAUUGGCCUGAACUUUACUGUCUAUCAAACAUUGUCUAAAAUUAUUUGUCACCAGAUAAAUUGGAGUCUGGGAUCUAAUUCCAUACAUAUGUACUAACACCACAGAACUAGUUGUUAUUUAUAUUGCAACUGUUGUAGUUUGUUAUGCUGAAGAUGAUGAAAAAUAAUGACAACAAGCUAUAGGACAUCAAAAUCUAAACAGUCGAUGGCUUUCAGAGUUGGGAAGAGGAAGUGAUUAUCAUUUCAAUGGCCAGGUCAAACUUCAAGAAAGAGGUAUUUCUAGCUUCCUUAAUAUUAUAAUUGCCAAAAAUCUCAGUUCGCAUCAUGGCUGAAGUGUAGAGAAGAACUGGAUUUUAUAUUCUUUUACUUGAUGUUUUAGGUAGGAUUGCUGAGUGAUCAGAGGUGAAUGAAAGUGGCUGUGACGCGAGCAAGGAGACUGUUGUCUUGUUUGUGACAUGGAGACAGUGGCUAGUGAUAAGUUCUUGAAGCAAUCAAUUGAAUAGUUUGAGGAGAAUGGAGAGUGUUCAAAUGCCAAUGAAUAAAACGAUGGCCUUGGGACAAAGGUUCUAUCCAAUUCUGUCAACCAUCAUCAGUUUUUUUUGCUGCAUUUGGUGAUAUGAAGACUUAGAUCUGGGAAAUGAUUCCGGAAUCCUGAGACCUCUGGUGAUUUAUGCCUGGAGCCAAAGUUCAUUGAUAUUCUCCAAAAUGGAGGAAAAUUUUAUUUUAAUUUGGUUAAUUGCAAGGUUAUCUGGAAAAUAGGCUGGUUGUACUACCAUGUUCAUUUGUAUGAUGUUAAUGACUGCGGGACACUAUUUUUACCUGGUAAUAGUAUGUUUUGGCAGUGACGCUCACUUUCCCUGAUUUAAUUUGCAUACAAGGCAUGUGCCUGUUAGUUAGAUUGCCCCUGUAGCUUAGGCCUUCCUUCAUGGGAAGUAUUGCAUUUGGAAUUAUAUUAAAUGUGGAUGAGCCAGCCAGUUUGACUCUAUUGGAAAUCUUACAGUAAGUUUGAAUCUCUUCAUCAAGGCUGGCAGGGAUGGAGAAAGGAAGGAAAAGGAAAAGGAAAAGAUUGAGUCAACUACAGCAACCAUCAUUAAUGGGGAAAUUGGUCCCAAGUGCUCAUAGGAAAUUUUCCACUUGGAAGGGUUUUGCAUCUUGGAAAUAGCGGAAAAGAUCCCAUGUUACGUGGUACACUUGUAUUUCAGUAGUGUUUGAACUUCAUUUUUAUAAUCUUUUUCCUGUGAAAUAUUGUCAUGACUCACUGUUUACCACUUGUAUUUUGUACAUGAGCAGGUUUCAGACUGGAAAAUUGGAUUAGCCACUACAGAGAAAUUCAUGGAUCCCAGGUAAACUCCUGUUCAGUUCAUUUUUAUGUGAUUGAUUUUCAAUUAUUGCACUAGUAUAUUUGAUCUCAUAGGUAAUGUUUUUUGGCACGAUCCAUAGGAUUAUAUGAUGAAACAAUUUUCUUCUAUUAACUCAAUGGAUUCUUGCCUCAAGUGGACAGCCCCACAUGGAUAGUAAGUAGAUUAUCAAUAACAUGCUUCCUAGCAAUGACAAAAUUAAAGAAAAAACACGUGAUUAAAGACAAAGCCCUUGAUAACUAUGAAGAAAUGAGUUUCUGUUUGGUCAAAUCUCCCAUUAGCAAAUUAACAUAUUCGAUUUAUGUCCUCUGCCACUCUUUAAGAUCCAUAAUGAACUCCACUUUCUGAUCCUCUGCAGCCCCAAGUACUACAAGGAACUUCUCUUCCAUCCUCUGCUACUGUAACUACUAUAACUAAGCCUCUCUCUAUCUCGCUCUAGUGGUCAAACUGAAAGUGACUCUUUUAUGGACCUCCAUGAACUAGAUUUAGAACCAACUAAUCUGCAGCCUAUUAAGUGAUACUAAACCCUCUUCCUUCCACCAAAUUUAACUCCAGUGGUGUGAACUCCUACCAUACCAAAACCUGCAGAUCCUUUCAGAAGUUCCAGAUGGAUGGAGGGAAAGCUGGCUCUUCAUACAUACCAUAGCCCUGGAAGCUACUGGCAUCUGUUCCUUGAUGAUCCUCUAUUCCACGCAUCUCGAUCAGUGCAUCCCAGUUGAAACUUUCCUCAGCAAAACCCACAAGCUCAUCGUCAUCUUUUAAUGAAGAUUCGGGUGCUGCAAAACCUUCUGCUGCAUUGCUUCCUUCUGACUGACAUUCAUCCUUAAGUAUUCCCAGUUGCUGAAGAAACUCAUUGAGAUCAAUCUGAGGCUUCUCUUCACGUUCUUCUGGUAUCUGUUCUGAUGAAAAUUCCACAUCUUUGUUGUUAGUUCUAGGACUUUCAUGAGUUUUGUUGGGGGCUUUGUCAUUCAUGUUUUGAGCAUCAGUUUUUGAAUCACAGGAAGAAGAACUAGAAGAAGAGGAUUGAUUGAGAACCCCGUUCUUCUUAAGCUCUUGGAGCCGCUGAUGAAUGACAUGAACACUGGGUUGUGCAUUUAUAUUAAGCAACCCACAAGAAGGAAACAUUGAAAUGAAGUUCUUGGAGGGAAACCAUUUUAACUUCUGAGAUUUGUUUGAUGGGUUGAAGUUAGAUUGCAGGUGGGGUAGAUUGAGAUAAGCAUCUGGCCCAUACAAUCGCCUCGCAGCUUCAUCGUAAGCCAUGGCAGCUUCCUCGGCAGUCGCAAAAGAGCCCAACCAAAGUCUGGUUCUCUUCUUGGGCUCCCUGAUUUCUGCAACCCAUUUCCCCCAGGUUCUUUGCCUAACACCACGAUACUCGCAUGUAGCAUUCUGAGGCCCUCCCUUGCCUCUCGUGGGACCUUUCUUCCAUGGCUUUAAUGGAGAUUUUCUGUUAUUCUCCAUGCUUCUACUGAAGGGGAAGGGAAGGGGUGAAUGAGAGGAGAGUGAUGGUGGUGGGUUUGGGAAUGCAAAAACUGGGAAGAAAGGCGCGGGAUAUGUAGUGAGUGAGAGUGGUGUUCACUGCCUUGGUUUAAAUGUUGUCACGUUUUGUAGAAAGUUUUCAACCCAUGUGACCGUUGGUUUGUAUAAUCAGGUAAUUUAAAAUUCCUCUGCUCAUUUCCCUCUUUUUAUGCAUCUAUUUAUGCAUGCAUGCAUAUCCAUCUAUUGCACUCAUACAUAAAAUAUUAUAUCAGGGAAUGUAUAAACAAAAAGCAAAAUGAUUUUGUUUUUUUCUCACUUUCUUGACCAUAUAAAAUCUAUUGUUGAAGAUGGGAUCAGGUUUUGCCAGGUGGAGUAGUAUGGACUAAGUAGUCUGGCCCAGUGGGCAUGGCAUUUGGCAGAAAGACGUCCAAGUCAUAUGGCAUUAAGUGUAAGUGGUGGUGACCAAGAUCGUUUGACAUGCUUUGAAUCUCCCUCGGAUUCUCUCUUGUUUCUGCAAGAGAGAAGGGUUCUUGAGAGUUGAAUAUUGCAUUGGGAAAAAGGAGAAGCACCUCACAACAUUUUAGGUUUUCACGAGACCUCUAAUUCACAUGUUUUGCUGCCAUUCACCACUUGAUUCCCGGGACUCAUCACCUUUAUCCCAUGCUCCACUCCCUCAUGUAUCCUCUCCCUAUAUAUAAUUUGUACACACUAUUAUUACCAUGGUCUGGAAAUGCAUAAAUCCUAUCACAUGAUGCUCUUCAUACGGUAAUAACAAUGCUUCUGAUGAUCAUCAUCAUCAUCAUGGCAACAAGGGUGAUGAACUGAUGGUGUGGGUAUAUGGAUUUGGCAAUAAGAUGAAAAUAUGACUAUUAGCACAUUUUUAUUUGAAAUUAGGCAUAUAAUCAAGAAAUAGUUAUAAUUUUGAUUGGUUUGGCAUUAUGAAAGUGAUUAUCAACCAAUGAGAACAUUAUAGUGAUGGCAUGGUCAUGAUGCAAAAUGUGAUAUUACCAAAAGCUUUGAGUCAAAACUCCUUUAAUGCAUCGUUUUUUUAAAUCUAGAUUUAUAUUCUAUACGGCAUGAAAUGAUAAUAAAAUUAGAGUGUUUUUUAUAGUGAUCUUAUGAAGUGUUUCUAACUUUUUUAGUACUUGAAAGAUGAAAAUUUUCAAGUAUUAAAAAUAUUAAAAAUCCUUCCUAAAAUCACUACUAAACACAUUUUCAUUUGUCAAAUCUCAAUUUAUGGCGACAAACAUGUUUCUAGAAUAGGUAUCGAGUAAAAAAGGAAAAAGAAUUCACUGUUAGCUGAUAAAUAAAACCAUUUCUUUUGAAAUGUUUUUAACUAUAUAUUUUAGUAUGAAUUCACUGUUCUGGAAUGUGUACCCUGAACAGCUCAAAAUGAAUGUACAAAACAUUAUCAAAAAGCCAAAAAAAUAUGCAGGAAAAAGAGCAAGAAAAGAUGCAAGGCCCAUUAUAAACAUCUAGAAACUAAUUACUUUAUACAGGACCAAAAAAGGCUUAACAACAUUCACUCAUUUCAAAACCUCUUACAUUCCAAUCUCAUCACGCUUGCAUAUCUUUAGCUCUGGGUUCCAAAUCCACCAGUAGAGUCAGCUGCAAUGAUUGAAAGAAAUAUUCUUCAGAAUUAAUUUUGAACUUGCAGAAGCUGGUGUUUAAGCCAACCAGUGCAUAAUGCAAUUGAAUCUUACUGCCAAAUAACCAAAUGGUAAUCUGUGGGAAAGACAAACUGAAAGAAAAAUCCAUGUUUUUCCAAGACUUCUCAUGAAUCUUACAUCAAGACACACAGCGGAUAUUCCAGAGAUCCAAUAGAGGAAAUCUUACCAAUAAAAAUAAACAUGAGAAAAUUUUGAGAACAUUAAAGACAAGCAGGGAAAUAGACAUAAUGGAUUAGCUUAUUCCAGAAAGAAAAAGGGAAAAAGGCUAAGGAAACAGACACAGCGACUUAUGGCAUAACAAAAGACAUGGUUCUCAAUAGAGUUGAAUAAAAAGAAAAGAUCCAUGCAUUUUAUUCCAUAAAGUUAGGACGCUGCUACCAUUUUUUAACCCUCUUGUUGGCCAAGGAGCCAGGGUACACAAGUGCAACUGAUUUGUUCCACAGAUGUUGAACCAUUUCUUCUCUUGUCAAAAACAAAAUUAAUUCAUAGGCAAAUAACUCCAACAACCUGCAUGCUGUAUUUGGAUUCAAAACUUAAUAACUAUAUAUAUAUUUGAUAGGCAAAUGAGAAUAUAUUAUGAGUGUUAAUAAAAAAUGGGCACACACCUAGUAGACACAAAGUACACAUCUAAAAAGCAAAAAGAAACAGCCAACAACCACAAACUAAUCUAAUAACUAGAACAUAACCACUCAAUGAAGUUUGUCAAGGAUGGGAAACCAGAACAUCAUCUUGAAGAGAUUGGUUUAUGCCUUGCACCCUUAAAAGGUUCUUGAAUUACAUUGCUUCCAAAUUGUCUAGAAUAGGCAAAGAGGAACUGUUCUCCAGGCCUUUUUUCUCUUCUUUCCCUCAAAGCUCUCAUUCCAACCCAUUAACAAUAUUUGACAAGAUGAAGGAGAACCCAGAAAAUGAUAAAUAAAGAUAAUGGAAAGUGUCACAGCCCAUUAGCUUUCCCACAAUAGAUGAGGAGAUAGCCUGUUGUUUCUUCUAAGUUGGUCCAUGGUUAUGAUCCUUUCCUGCUUCUCAUGUGAAGAAACCCACUUUGUUAGAAGCCAAACAGCCUCACACCAUCUUUGGGAGAAAAUCCCUUCGAAUUUUAUAUAGUCUUCAAGCUAUCGACUUGGGAAUAACAAAAAGGGACAUGAUGUAAAUUGAUAGGCUGCUAAGAGUACCAUUUUUUUUUUUUAACAGAAGCUGGUAAAGAGAACUUUUUAACAAAGUCUCCUAUCUUUUGAGAGGUAUCGUAGAGUCACCAUUUCUUUAUAAAGAAGAAAGAUAAAAAAUAGCGCAUAAUUUAAAUAUAGUUGAUAUUUUACCAUUAUCAGAGAGUUCAACAAAACUUCACUUUGAUUUUGGGCUUCCUUUGCAAAUGUUUCUCCAUUUAUCCUUGAGGUCAAUUGUGGUACGACCUCUCUGAAAUACAGUACCACCAAAUUCCAUAAUCUUCUUCCAUGGAAUACUUUUAUCAUGAUCAUUUGAAAAUUUCUGCACUCCCACCUGCAAUAGAGAAAGCAAUUAUCAAUAUAAAAACAAAUCUGAAAACUAAUGAUUGAAAAAGAAAAAUUCAAGACCAAGAAACAUGAGUAAUCCUUAAUGAAACUACAGGUGCUGAAUUAGAAGUCACAAAACUGAGAAAUGUGAUUUCUCGAUCUUGUGUCCUUCGAAAUUUUAUCUACAUCAGAUCCAUAUCAUAAAGCAGGUAUGAAUAAAAAAAAUUGAAAAGCAAAUGAAAAAAGUUUGAACCUAAUACUCUUAACACAACACAAACUGGACUUGAAUAUCAAUCUUCACUAUUAGAAUACUACAAAGCUACAGAACUAAGAAUGCUAAUAUCAUAUCAAUGAAGUAACACAAGUACCUUUAGUAUCUCUUCCUCCUUAGCUGUCCAAGCAAGUUUCUUUCUUCUCAACUGAUGAAUUGGUGGAAAUGUGCUGCAAAUGAGAGGCAAUAUAUAUCCUCAAUCAAUAAUGAUAACUGCAGCCAAUUACUACUUUCUAACUGUUGAGUGUGCAUUAGUAUGUGUGGAGGAAGGGAGAGAAAAUAUGCUUGAAAUAUCAAUGUUGCCAUAAGUAGUUGUCUCCUUAUAGUACAGAAUUGGAGCCUCCAGAUAUUCUAAUGAAUAGGUGCAGUUUCUUCCAUUCCAAGGAGAGCAAUGGCCCAAUGCAUCUUUAAGGGCUUACUCCCUUGGAAAACAAAACUGCACCUUUCCGAAGUUUGAAUGGAAUAAAAUUACAUGACCAAGUGGUGCAUGCAUACAAGCAGUGCACUACUUACCACAAUGAAUUGACGAUGAUCACUACAAUGAUGCAGUGGACAUCUAGAAACUAAACAUGCCUAGUAUCAUAAGGUAUAAAAAACUUACUACUGCUGUUGUUGCCUUCUGAAUCUUAUAUAGUAAGUAGAACUGGAAGGCUUAUCAUUUUCAUCUCCAGAAGUUCCUGAAGCAGGAUCCUCCAGUGGAUCACUAAUCUGCUGUUGUAAAGCUUCCUGCUGAACUCCUAAAUUUGCAACUCCCUGCUCCUCGACACCAUCAUGCUUCUCUACAUUUCUCCUAAUUAGUUGAUCAGUGACUUGAGCAUCGCCAUGGUUUGCUCGAGUCUGUCUUUUCUCUUUUACAUGCCCAUUUUCACAAACCUUGACAAGAUUAGCACUUUCAUUAAGCUUUUCAUUCUUUUUUCUAUGUUUUUUCUUGGGUUUGACAGGCUCAUGCUUCAUCCCUGCAUUGAUAAAUGAAGCCAGUUCUUUCUUUGCCAAGGAGACCUUUUUCUUGGACUCAAGGUAUUCAGAAACUGCACGGGAAUAUGCACAAAAGGGGCAGUAAAAGUUUCCCAUGUUGUCAAAACUGGGGGGGCAGCCCAAGCAGUUCUCAUGAACCACCAAUGGACAGCCACUGGAACUACAAACCAACAACUGACCGUCUUUAGUACACUUCAUACAAAGAUUUUGCUCUGUCCAGCCAGCUAUUGACAAGGAAUCAUGAUUGAAUGUGCAUUUAGAACUCAGGAAAUUUUGUCUCUCCAUGGCAAUACCAUCCUCCUCAUCAUGAUACUCAGUGCUAUCACUCAGCAUUUCUUCUUCACAACAAUGCUCAGUGUCAUCUUUGGCUUCAUCUACAAAAACUUUAUGGUGUGCUUCAUUAGGAAGUUUGUCAUUUGAUGCCUUUGGUUGAGAACUAUGAUCACCAUCAUCUUUGGCUUCAUCAACAGAAUUUUUUUUCUGGCUUUCAUCUGAGGAUCCACUUGAUUUAUUUGGUUCAACCCUACAAUCGCCAUCAUCCUUGGCUUCAUCAACAGCAGUUUUUUGCUGGCUUCCAUCUGAGGCUGCACCAAUUGAUUUGUUUGGUUCAACCCAAUGCUCAACAUCAUCAUCUUUAGCCUCAUCAACAGAAAUAUCAUGGUGGGAUUCAUCUCUAGGCAUAUUUUGAGGCAUUUUAUUGCUGUGAAAAGGAAUCUGCGUUUGAUUAUGCUCAAAUUCUCCAUGUUCAACAUCAGUGAUCUGCUCAACCCUCUUUGAAACAACAUACUUAUCAUGAUCAUCCUCAGAAACCAUUGUGCUUCCCUCCAGGUCUCCCAGUUGAGAUUCUUUUGCCAAGUCACACUCAUUAAUACUUGGUCGAGAUGAAUCUUCUAACAAUUUCUUUCCAUGCAGAGAAACUGGGUUUGGUUCUAUAGAUGUAAUGGAGCAAAAGGCAUCAUGUUUACGCCUCUUGGCAUUUGAAUGGGAAUCACCACCAUAAUUCACACUGUCUACAUUUGGGUUAAAUUGCCCCAUCAAAUUUUUGGCAGGCAAGUCAUCCAGGCCCCUUUUAUAGGGCAAUAAAAUCCUCUCAGUUGUAUCUUCUGGCAAGAGAUUGUUCUCAUUUUCAGCAGUCAGAGGAAUUAAGUCUCCUUUUGCAGCCUCAACUUGACCACAGGCAGUACCCUCAUCAACCCUUGGUGCAACUGCACCAGAAUCACCAUCACCAUUAGGUGUUCUAGUCUCACAUUGACUUUCAAAUCUCAAUCCACUCCUUUCCUUCAAGGAUACAGCAGAUGGAUGGCUGCCCUCGAGAAUUGUAUCUUUCAACUGUUCAUAAGGAAACAACAUGAGCCUGCUUACAAACAGUAUAUAAGAUUUGAGCAUAUUUUACCACAACCCUUCAAAUGAUGGAAAACAAAAGAGAAUCCCCCUUACCUCUUGCAAAGCACACUUAGGUAAACAUGCUCUUUUAUGUGCAAUGAAAGGGUUAACAUUCCAUUUUAACAGCUCUGGUUCUCCCAUUCUUAGUUUUGAUGCUGACACCUAAAAUCAGAUGUAUGUUUAAAUCAGCAUAAGAAUACAAUUCUCCAGUUAAUGAGUUGCUUUGAAUUCUAACUUCAAUUACACAAGCAAAUAAUUUACUAAAUCAAAGCCAAAACUGAUGCAUGUUACCUUACGCAAUAUGCACUGGAGAACAUCUUCACAGCUUUCAGAUGGGUCGAACCCCAUUUUUGAAUGCACAACAGGAUGAACAUCAUUUGUGAUUCCACUAAAUAAAGCCUCCAAACAUCUCAAGGCAAUCAUUUCUUUGACAUUCCUCCCCAAAUUAUCUGAGACUUCUGGAGCUUUUAUCAUCAAAUCUGUAAGAAAGAAGUCAUGAAUUGCCUCAAUCCACACUCACAAAGACUAAGCAACAUAAUAAAGAAAAAGUAUGUACCCUUCAAAAGAGAGAUAUCUACUCGCUCAAAGCUUGCUAAGGUUUCCAUUACCCAAAGCCAUGGAAGGCUUGAAACAGAGCACGACUUUUCAGCCAUGAAAACUGGUAUUAAGUUUCUGAGACCACAGUUUCGUUGAGCUCGUCCGUGCUAUUGUUUCAUAAAGAGAAAGAAAGGUUUCAACUUCAUCUGAAAAUGCAACGCCAGUGUCAAAAGAUGCAAAAUCACAAUUGAUGGCUUAGAGAUUAAUGGCGUGUUUGGUUGCAUAAAAUCAGAGCCCCAAUUUCAAAUCCACAGUUUUCCUUGCCUGCGUUCGACCUGAAUUUAAAUCAAAUUUAAACACAACAACUACGAAUCCACGGAAAUGAUUCCAUGGUAGACAGCAAUAUUUUCAAAUUCCACAGAAGUUGAAAUUUCCCAAGUUAAAUGAAUUUCCUAGCAUUGAAGAAUAAAAAACAAACUCAGAUUUCUCAGAAGGCCUAAAGACAAAUUAUUAAGUUUGCAAUAGAAUACAGAUUUAGGGUUUCAGAGAGAAAGCCUCAGAAAAUGACAAAAUGAAAGAAAAAAUAAAUAAAAAUAAAUAAAUGAAAACCCUAACGCUCAGUUUGGUUUCCGAGAAACACGAAGGAAAACAAAAGAAAAUUACGAAUUUGAGGAUAAUCAUUCCAAGUAACGAAUCAAAAUUUUAAUUUCAUUAAUUUAUGAGGAAACAUUUAAUCAGUAAUUAUUAGGGGUACCUUAAAUCUUCGAGAAACGAAGAAUCAAAGGCUCAGAGAACACCGGAUCCAAGGUUUCAAACGACGCCGAUCUUGAGGGCCAUUGCAAAUGGCAUACGAGACUGAGAGAGCUGUCUUUUCAAAUCGGAAACGGCGCCGUUUGACAUAUUUCAAACCGCCAACUCUACUUGGGCCAGUUUUGGGCUCGCCUAAAAAUAAAGUGGGCCCAACAAGGUCCAGGUCCAAUAGGGCGACCUGUUUAUUUUGCACCCAACAUGCUAAGGUCCAUUUCCAGUGGUUUAUAAAAGUUUUGUUAAAUAAAAAAUCAUUUUUCAUAUCUAAUAUUUUAUUAAUUUUCAUAUUAAACUUUGUUUAAAUCACAAGUUUUUUUUUUAAAAAAAAAAAUUACUCAAAUAUGUAUAAAAACUCUUAGGCUUCUUUAGAUUAGCUAUUGAGAGUUAAAAUAUCUUCUUUCCUUUUUUUUCAUGUCUUUGUUUGAUAUUCAAGUAAGAUAACUUGUAGCUUUAAAAAUUUAAUUGCAUAUGAAACAAACAUUUUAUAUAGUGAAGAUGAUGCUUGUCUUUUUUUUUUUAAUAGAAAAAAGUAAAAAAAAAAUAAUAUUAUACCAACCUAACAUAACUAAAUUGAACAUNNNNNNNNNNNNNNNNNNNNNNNNNNNNNNNNNNNNNNNNNNNNNNNNNNNNNNNNNNNNNNNNNNNNNNNNNNNNNNNNNNNNNNNNNNNNNNNNNNNNGUAAAAAAAAAAUAAUAUUAUACCAACCAACAUAACUAAAUUGAACAUAUUUAUAACAAAUUUAUUUUAAUUAUGUUGGUUGAAAUCGACAUAUUACUUUUAAUUUAAUAUAAAAAAUUAAAUAUUUUUAUAUUUUCUAUUCAACCAAAAAACAAAUACUACAUAAGAGUAUGUUUGACAGUAAAUUUAUAAAGUAUUUUUAAUAUUUCUAAUAUUUAAAAAAUAAAAACUUUUAAUUAUUAGAAAUAUUAAAAACGAUUCUUAUAAUGACUGUCAACCCACUCUAAUAUUAAUAUUAGGCUUCCCAUUUUAGAUUAACUAUUGAGAAUUUUUCAAUGCAUUAAUCAAAUCUGUCUUGGCAUUCACCUAAUUUUCAUUCGAAGAAAAACAACACAUACAGAAUAACCAAAAUAUUUUUUUUUUCAACCUCUCUAAGCCCAUCAUCCAAAGGGCCCUUUUUUUUUCUUAUUUUUUAUUUUUAUUUUUAUUUUUUGAGGAAAAGUGUGUUUCCACCACAGAAAUAAAACUAAAAUAGGAAUUCCUUAUAAAUAAUUUAAGUUUUGGUAAACUCAUCGUAAUAUUUAAAAUGGUAAAAAAUAGUACUUAUAUUAUUAGAAAGUAAUACCUAAUGAUUAUAUGUAAUAUACUUGAUAAAAAAAAGUAUAAAAUUCAAAUUAUUUUUAGGUAAUUGUUUAAAGUUAUUGUGUGGUUUUUUGCAUUUAAGAGUAGGAAACACACUUUUCUUUUCUUUUUUUUACUUGGAGUAGAACAUAUGAUGUGGGCCGUGGGUGAUAUUGAUUUCAUAAUUUAUUAAUAUUUUAUUCAUGCACUAUUUGCGUUAAUUUUUUUAUGGACAUUCAAAAAUUCUUACCUAUCGUUACUUCAAAUUAAUUUUAUUUAACUCAAAAUUUAUUUAUAUUCAUCCAAUAUUUUUUAUCUAUAAUUAUUUCAAAUAAAUUAUUUUAAUUCAAAAUUUAUGCAAGUAUUAUUAUGUUAAAUGGUAAAAGAAGAUUCCAACUUUUUUUUUUUUUUGGUUUUAUGAUAAUUUCACAAUAAAGAUGAAUUAUAGAAGAAGAUUCUAACUCUUUAUUUUCUGAUUCCUUAAUGGUAAAGAUAAUCAUGUGUUUAUUUUCUAUUUCCUUUUCUUUUAUGUUAAUAUUUUAAUAAUAAAUGGGGUACAUCAAUUAAAUAAUUACUAAUAAUAAAUAGAAUGAUAUUUUAAAGUUGAUAUUUAAAGAAUCAUUCAAUUGGAAUGAGAAUAAUACAAAGAGAAGAAGUAUGGUACAAAUUAUUAUUGAUCACUAAAAUUAAUUUUCAAACAUUAAUUUAAAUCGAAUUUAAUUGUUUUCUUAGAUAAAUUUAAAGUUUCAUAAUAAAUUAUCUCCUUUAAAUAAAAUAAUAUAUAAAUAUAUAAAAUGAUAUAAAUUAAUUUUUAUUAUAAUUAUCUUUCGUUUGAUGAUAUAUAAAAUAAUAAUAAAUUUGCAUUUAUCACAUAAUAUUAAUAUUAUAAAUACAAGAAAAUAAAAUUAAUUUGUAGGUUGCCUUAAAAAAAUAGGAACAUUAGGUAAAUUACUUAAAUAAAUUAAUGAUGGAAUAUAUGCAUAUACGAGUAAAAUGAUAAAAAAAUAAAAAUAAAAAAAAAUAAAAAAAUAAAAUAAAAAAAGAAAAGAAAAGAAGGAAACAAAGAAAUUUUGAGGGAGAGUACGAAAAGGAAGGCAAUGGAAUGAAAAGGAAAAAAGAAAAAAAAAUAAAAAAGAAAUAUGAUUAAGGUUUAAAUAUGGGUAUAGUUAAAAGAUGUCAUUUUAGACAUUUCACAUUAUAAAAUUUAUUUCUAUAAAAAAUAAUAUAAUUAUUGCUUUAUAUUAAAAAUGGUAGAAAUUAUUGAUCCUUAAAAAAAUGAAACUAAAAAUAAUAGAGUAGGAGUACAAAGGAUGAUGAGGGUUGUCUUAUGUGGAAGGAAUAAAACAUGAAAUCAGUUCAAAGAGACAUUUUAUGUUGGAUUGGAUGUGAUAGAGAAGGAAGGUUCCUCUGCACGCAACCGUUGAAGUUUCAAAGAAAGAAAUUUAUAAUUUUUAAAUAAUUCAGUAAAUUUAUAGCGUGACCACGAAAAUCCAAAUCAGCGUUCACCAGAGAUGUCGCUAUUUGCAAGAUGCAAGACAGAUGUCCUCAUGGUGAAGCAUGGUCCAAGCAUUAGCAAUAGCACCCUUUGAUGUCGGUUUCAAAAACAUUCGUCAGAAAUACAAUUAUUGAGAAGACGGGUCAUCAUGAUUCUCAUAAAUAAUUUUUUAUCUUGGUAUUCAAAUAAUAAAAAUGAUUUUAUUAAAUUUGUUUUUAGUAAAGGUAAUUACAUAACACAAUGACAGAAUUUUCAAGAAAGAAUUCUUUUGGAAUUUGCUUUUUAAAAUAAUUCUUAAAAAAUAAUUUUUGAAAAUAAUUUUUUAAUUUUUAAGAACAAAAGUCUGAUUAAAAACCUAAAAUAUUUUUAACCCGUUUUUAAUAUUUUAAAAAUAAUUUUUAUUUAUAAUCAUUCUAUAUUUUUAUAUAGUUAUUUUUUAAAAGUGUUUUUAAAAAACAAAUAAAAAUAAUAAAAAAUAUAUUCUAAAAAUAUCUUAUUUUUUAUUUUUUAAAAAUAAAAAAUCAAUAAUUGAUUAUCAAACAUAUUUCAAAACAAAAAAUUUUAUCCAAAACAGUUCCCAAAUAGGUUUUCAAUCAUUUUUCAAAAUAUUUUACAUAAAAACCGUAUGGAAAUUAAGAAAUUUAUUUUUACAAAUAAUAUAUUUUCAGAAUAAAUUAUCAAAAAAAUAUUUUCAAUAAAAAGAUUUUUGUGAAAAUACAUUUUUAUCCAAAAUAACCAGAAAUAUUUUUUAAAAAUAGAAUUUAUUUUGAAAAUAUUUUCAAAAAUAAUUAUCACGGAAUAAUUUUUGAAGUCAACUCCACUUCAAAAUAUACAUAAUUGGUUGCCGAUUUUAAUUAGAUUUUUGGAGACAUUAGAUAUGAUGAGAGAUAUCCCCUCCACAAGAUGGAAAGUCAUUUUCUUCAUAUUUUAACUAAAAAAGACAAGAAAAAUACCCAUGGAAUUUCUGGAUAUUUAAACAAUUUUGAAGAAUUGAUAUCAUUAAUUAGAAUAAAGACAUUUUUCUUUCCAAAAUUCAUUAUUUACAGACAAAUAAAAUAAAAAUGAUUUUUUUUUAAGUUUAAAUGAUAAUUUUAUAAAUUUAUUUUUAAUAAAAAAAAAGUUUGAUUCGGUUAGAUAAUAAUAUUGUGACAUAAUGUUAACAUGGGAGGGAGCAUUAUUAAAGAGACCCACCAAUAAUUGGUAGGUGGAUCUUGUGAUUACAGAGGAUUUGUUAAGUAAUCCUCGAGAAACAAUAUGAUGCUACCACCAGAGUAAUAAAAAUUACAGAAAUUUUAAGAUCCUAUAAAUGUAGAAAUUGUCAGUCUUCUUUUAUUUCGUUGAAUUUAAAUUACCAGCUAAGAAGUUGCAGGAACAAAUUAUAUUACUUGGAAGGAAGGGGGACGAAGAUCAGAGCCUCUGAAUGGCAGCUGAGAAAAAGUUCUUUACAAAUUCACUCAGCCACCAAACAGGGGCCGUAAAAUUGGGUAAUAUCUGCUUUUAUUUUUAUUGAAUUUAAAUUAAAAAAAAAAAACAAAGACAGAAUAAAUUGUAUUAAUCGAGGGGAAGUUCAGAACCUACAUGAUUAGAAACCUAAUGGUCUGUUUGGUUGCUGAGAAAAGUCAGAUUGGAAAUAAAAAAUCGUUUCUAUGAUAACUAACAUUCUUCUCCCCACUACUUUUCCAUACGUUUUUCUCAGAAACCAAACAGGGGCAACGAAACAAUUCAACAACUCAGUCCAAAUCUCAUUCUCAAAUCACGGUAUUAUUCCUCUGGUACAGUCCGUGCACAUGAAAAACAGACUCCGAUUCCCAUGUUUCAAUCGAUUCAGCCCAACCAUCAAGAAAAACAACAACAAACCACAUACUCCCGACACCCAAAAAAAAAAGAAGGAAAAAUGUACAAAUCUUUAUGAAAAAUAUAGGAUUCGAUGGGAGAAUCUACCGUCCGAAGUGGAGGAAGGAGGAGAGGAUCCUGGAGAAGGCGAGGCGAACACGAAGGUAGGCGCCAAGGGUGUAGACGGCGGUCUGGCGAAAAAGUGUUUCGACGGUUUCGACGAAGAGAUUGAGGCUUCGGAUCGGAGGAACGUAGAGCGUUAGAGGCACCGCCGAGAAGGCUACAGCAAAUAGCAGUUGAAGCAUUUGCACAAUCCCCCCACUUCUUCCAAAGGCUUUCGUUGGUUAAUUGUAAUUUUCUAGCUUUUUGUGUGGGAACUUGUAGCCCUCUCUAUUUAUAGUAGAAGUAACCGGAUUUCUCAUUCUUUCCCAUUGGCCACACAGCCCACUGCGCCCACUGGGUUUUCUCUUUGUUUUUCCUUUUUUUUUUUUAAAUAAAAUAAAAUGUAUAAAGAAAUUGAGAGAAUCCUACAAUGUAACAAUACCGAGUUGACUAAACUUUCUGUAUCGUUCUGGAGUUUAACAAAUAAGCCUAACCAAGUUGGACACGUGUCCUUCGAUUUUGAUUGGGAAGGGCCUAGCUUUUGACAUAUUACGUGGAAGGGCUUGUGAAAAUUUGAAUGUUGGAUAUGAAAGUUAGUUGAAGAUUUUGACAGUUGGAAAAGGCAAAUCUGUUUAAGAUGCGGAAAACAAUAUUCCCCGCACUUUUUAGUUUUUAGUUUUUACACAAUCUUAUUGGGGGUGAUCCUGUAUGUGUCACCAUCUAUCGGACCAUAUCCACUUUAUUUACAUUGAUGGAACAAGGGAAUUUGAAGACAGAUUUUAAAAAACAGUUAUGGGAAUUAUUUUUAGAAUAAAAUUUUCUUUAAAAACUCAAUUUUUUUUUUUUUAAAUUCUCAACUUAUUCUCAAUGAAAAUAAUAUAAAUUUAUAUAAAAUAUAAAAUUUCUCAAAUAUGUUUCAGAACACCCAGCAAAAGACACUUGAAAUGUGUUCUUAAAAAUAUGUUUCUAAAACAAUUUUUCCAAAAAACUCUAUUGAAUGCAUUUUUCUUAAGUUAGAAAACGAUUUUUUUUUUUUCUGAAAAAAGAAAUAGACAGGUGUUCCCAAAUAAUCCCUUUGCUAAAAAUCAUUGAACCAACUUCUCUCUCCCAAUGAGCAGCUACUGGAGAAACACUAGCACCUAAUUUAUGAGGUGGUGGUCGAGUGAUGGAGCUAUAACCCAACAGCAAAUCUUAUCUGUUCACCCUUCUCAACUACCAGUCUUCUUCAGUUCUUGACCCUGGUCAAGACGCAUUAAUUGGCCUAACAGUCUUCUAUUGAGAAGAAGCAGAAAUAAGAUUAAAAGCAUAACCAAUGCUAGACACUGUACUCUCAGACACUGCAUUAAACUCAAACCUACUAUCAACAACAGUCUUCUUUAAAAGUAAUAAAUCACAAAACAUCAGUUUAAAUGAAACCCAUCUUUGAAAUUUUACCAUAAUAUAAGUAAUGGCUUUAAGGGAAAGUAUGAAAAAAAAGAAAAUAAUGCAAAGGAAAAAUAAAGGAAAAUCAUAAACAAACUUUGGUUUUCUUUCAUGGUCUCCAAAAUUCAUCCCUCCUUUUUUUUCCUACUAGUCAUUAUCUUGAUCCCAAUGGACUCGUAGAAUUUACAAGCCUGUUGGGACAGGAUACCUAGUAAGAAUCCAUUUGAUGGUGCUUUUAGAAACUACUUCUAAAAAUCACGUAUUUGACAAAAUUUAGAAAGAAUUUUAAAAAAAAUUAACAAUCACUUGUUGUACUUCCUGAAAAAAGACUUCUAGAGAAAAUAUUUCUACUAAAAGCACUUUAAACAUAAACACUAUCAAAUGCACUUUAAAUUUCCUUUGUAAAAGGAUCAGUAAGAAAAUUAGGCAUUCAUAUGUAUUCCUGCUAAUUUUAUGUCCAAGCAUUAAAUCAUUUUCGGAUUCUCAUAGAAAUGGUAGGGGAAAAGAAAGGAGAACCAACAGUUACUGUGCUUCGAAUUUUUACAUGGCUCAACAUCAUAUGUACAUGAUAGAGAACUAACUUAAAUCAUAGCUAUGCCAAAAGGAGUAUAAUUUAGGAAUGAGUUAAACAUGCAAGCAAUUUUUGGCACAUUUGUUGUACCUCCAGUGAAGGAUCUGCCAUGUACAUACUUAAAAGUACUAAUCUUGCUUCUAGCAGCCCCUCUGAAAUAUUCUCCACGAUUGCAUCUUCGCUUGCCAUGAGAGAUGCCAUUAGCUUUACACCUGCCAUUCUUUCCUGAUGAAGAAUGAACAUAACCACUGAGAUUACAGAUUAUAACAUAGGAGUUUUGUUGCAGGGAGAAGGAAAAAGAAAGAAGAAAAACGACAGCCCCGGACCACCAUGACAAUGGGUAUUUUGAGAGUUCAAGCUAUUCAAAUAAGAAAAAAUCUGCAUCAUAUAUGAGGAAGUUUUAAAUCCUUGGAUGAACAUCUGGUUCUUAUGAUCAUUUUCUAUCAGGUCUGUUUAGCUAGACAUAGAUUAUGAGGUAGUUUUAAAUCAAGGAAUUAAAGUAUGUUUAGCCACACAUAUAUAGGUCUGUUUGGCAACGUUUUCGAAUUGUUUUCAAGAACAAAAUUCUAUUUGGAAAAUCAAAUGUGAAAAAUGGUUUUCUUGGCUUAUUCUCCUUGAAGGUAAUGUACAUUUUUUUUUUUUUUACAGGAAACGACAAAGGAAUAUAUUGAUAAAAAGGAAGUACAAGAGAAGGAUGAGAAAUCCUCCCACCAAUGUAAAUUUAUUUAUGAUGCAAAAGUUUCGAAAUAUUCUUCAUAUUUUCAAUUGUUACUUAAAACACUUUAUGAAAAACAACAGAAGAGACCUCAAAAUUUGUUCUAAAAAUCAACCUAUUGAAUAAAUUCUCAAAAAACAGUUUUCUGUCAAAAGUUUGUCACAUGUGUUUUCAAUGUUAGAAAAUAAUUUUAUGUUCUAAAAAAUAAAAACUAUUUUCAAGAACAAUUUCCAAACAAGGCCAUAGCUUCUAUUUUCUAAUUGGAUUCCUCAAACUACAACCUACCCUUACUCCUCCCUUGCUCACAGAGAGUUGCAGAAAAAGCCUAGUUGUUUCUCUUCUAAAAUACCAUUAUCUUGCAGGUAGAAAAUUGAUUAUAUUGGACAUCAAAUAUUUUAAAUUUUUAUUACGUUAUUCCUAGUCUAAGCUAAGCCAGGUUAAAUGGCGCUCUCAAGCGACUGAAGUAGCUUUCGCAAAUUAGAGAUUACAGGUGAAGUCCUAUAGACAAGGUAAGUAGAUAUCCAUCCUCCCCUUACUUCUCCAUGUUUACUAUGGCUUGCACAGGAUUCUUAUAAUUUUUCUAGCAAAGAGAUCAUUAAACAUUGCCAACUUUGUUUCUAUACUGGCUCAAAACAGAUGAACCAAUAAUUCACUGAAUGAUAUUGUUGAACAACCAAAAUUCUUCUAAAAGCUUAAGUAUAUAGGAUUUAGGCUCACAAUGUAUAUCAUAUACUCUAACAGAUACUAAUGUUAGAGCAGUAUAAACGCUUAAGCAGCAUAAUGUUAUAUAUAUAUAAAAGUAAUAAAGGUUUCAUACAUUAAUUUCGUGGAACAGGGUUUAAUACCUUUUCUGAAUUUCCCUCAAGAGACUUUAGAGAGAGUUUGAGAAGCUCAGACGAGUAAGGAAGUAUCAUAGACUUCAGAUGGUACACAGCCGAGAACAGAACCUGAACACAUGCAACUCUGAUCUCUGAGUCCUUUAUCACCUGCAUUGUUUGACAGCAACAAGAACCAUAAAGUAGGAUAAUAGGAGAUUUCAAGGUUGUAACUAUUUCAUCCUUUUUUUCCUUUCUUUUGAUAAAAUCUAUCAACUUCAAAUAAUCAAACAUAUGAAAACCUGUUUGAAAUAUCAGUACCAGCGCACCUGAACAAAAUGAAUGAGAUAUGGAAGAAUUCUCCGAGCAAAAGCCUUUUUUCCAGAAUCCGAGAUCUUCUGGCAAGCACUUAUCAGGACAUUAGCCAUGCACAAACGAAAAGAGAGGGGGACUGAUGGCUCAGACGCACAGUUAUCACUGCACAACAUGGAGGUGGAAGCAGCUUCAACAGCAUCAAGAGACAAUUGGUGGAUAACGUAAGUGACAACUGAAUCUCCCAAGGCAGAAUCCCCUGGCAUUUUGAGCCACAGAAGUCACAUGAGCCCCCAGUUAGAAACACAAAUGUACCUAUAAAGUCAGGAUACCAACCAGGAUGAAAGUUCUUUCCAAUGAUGCUAAUCUUGUCUGAGACAGAGCCUAUGAAGGAUUUUGGAGCUUGUAGUUCGGUACAAAUCAUCAGUGCUAAACAAUCAAUGCAGCCAUGCUGUGCUUUGGAAACUGAGAUAGAGGAACAAACUUGCAGCUGUCAGACUUCAGUAGUAGGAUGAAAUACAUAUUUGGGGAAAUCAAUAAACUAUCUACCUUCAUCCCCAUCUAGGGAAGGCCAUAACAAAAUAGUUUUGAUUGUUUUUUGAAUUUUGAGCAUAGCUGGCUGUGACAAUGAAUCCCUGCCUCUAGCCUAUUGAGCAAAAGAUACCACUAAUAUUAGUUACAGCAUAGAAGGAAAAGUUCAAGUUUAGAAUUAAGCGAAAAAUAGAUGGGAAAAACUCUGGAACACAUGAAGCCACAUAAAGUAGAUAGAUCAUAGAUGGGCAAAAAAUUAUACCACAAGGGAAGUGCAAACUGAAAAUAAACAAGCUUUUAUCUUCACAAUAUCCUGAGAGUCUGCAGCAAGUUCUAAAUGAGACGAAAGGAUUGGGAGGAGCACCUACACAAGUACAAGGCAAGUAUAAAUUGAUUGGCACAACAACUUUGGAGACAAAAGGCAUAUAGCACACCUGAAUGAACAAAAAUACUGUCAACAGGAAAUUGAAAAGCAACAACCACAUAAAAAGCCAAACAGUGGAAUGACACUAUUGUUCAAAUUAUACAAAUGGAAAUUUUAAUAGAAUAAUAAUUAUGAUUCACGUACUAUUCUAUACAAGUUCUUAUUGAACAUGGGAUUUGGCUCUGGCCACUGAGACCAAAGGGAUUCUUUUUUGCAUCUCUGAAAUGCAGUUCCUUAAUGCAGACAGAUUAUGAAGAUAUCAACACCAGAUGGAAGGAACAAUGUGGUAGUAUCCAAGACUCCACAGCAUAGCAUUUGCUGCUGAAAAAAUGUUUCAAUAUUUCACUCAAUCAAUUCAUUCAUUUCAAGAAGAUGGUGAGAGCAGGAUAAGGGACUGGACAACCAUUUAAAUUUUAGCAUGCCAUACACAGGAGUUGCCUUUGGGCACCUUAAACACUCUGCUUUCAGCCAAAGUCAUAUGUUGAAUCCAGAGGCCCCCAACAUUCAUAUAUAGGCUGACAGUGAACCGAGUGACUUAAUAGGAUAGUUUUUUGGGGGUACAUUUUCAUGGGAAAAUGUAACUCAAAACAUAAACUACAGAAACACAAUACAUAUUUGCCCACAAGCUAAAAAAAUUAGUUAUUUGUCUAUUCUAAAACAAAUCUUCUGUGUCUGAACAUGAUGAGUGUUUGACAUGUGGUUAUGAAUAAAAUUCAAAACUACACAGCAAUUUUUUUACUCAUCUGGGGUGUGUCUAACAUGUGUCCAGCCAUGUUGGCGGAGUUCUGUGCCCAACAAGUCACAGCUCUGGUUUAUAAGGGUUGUGCCUACGUAACACUUUGGUCAAACAAUCUUUUCAUCAUUAGCAAACCAUAAAACACAUGAUUUGUGGUUCCGUACAGAUGAGAAGGCCAUAAAAAUGCAAUUGAGACAUUGAAAAUUAUGAACAUACAAAAUUGCAUGCCUGGAGGAACCAGAUCUCAACAUCAUCCAUAAUGAAUUCCUAAUCCGAAGUGGAACUCCAAAAGUAGUCCAAGUAUAAAAAAUGCUUAAAUAUAAUAAUUGUUCGAACAAGAACCGGACAGCAAAUGUGCACUUCUCCAUUGAAUUUCUUGUACAUUCAACAAUGCGGCUCUCAAAUUCGAGUAUCCAAGGUUGUAUUCCUCGAGGCAUUUCUCCUUAGUCAUACUUCAACAAGUAUUGCCUCAAACGGCACAUUAACUAUGAACCAGAAGUUCAUGCUAGAACAUAUAUAUAAGGUAUAUAAUGCCAUAAACAGAGACACUAAUCAGUCCAAUCAGAAUGUGCUGAGAAGCUGCAUAUCUAAGAAAUAUGUUGAAGCACUACAUAGCCCAAAAUGAAAUAAAUGCCUUUUCCACAAGGAUUUAUAAUAUUUUUAAAUGGUAACAAAAAUAAAAAGUCAAUUUUAUACACCUGGGGAUGGAUGCGUCCACAGAGCUCAGCUGCAAGUUUUCGAACAUCUUCAAAUUCAAAUUUACCCAAUGCCCUGAAAAACAUAGCAAUAGACAUGAGAUUAUUAUCAGAGGUGAGCUUGAUGUUAUGCUUGUGGUGGUACCUGUUCAAUAGCAGCAUGGCAACACACUCAUGAUCAUUGAUAUCGAUCGAUCCAUAGCCUGGAAUUGCCAACAAAAAAGAGCAAAAUUUACUGAUAUCAAAGCAAAAACAAUCCAAGUCCAUGGAACUCCAAAUCAAAUAUAAGUAUAGAGUUCAGUAAGCCAGAUCCUCUUCUUAUUUAUGAGGUGAAUAGUGAUUGGUUGAUCUAUUUGAAAUGGAUUCUUCUCUAUUUAAAAUGGCUUCAAGAUGCUAUAAGUGGAGCUAGCAAUAUAUAUCCAAAAGGGAAGCACUCCAAAAGCAGGUCAUUAGAGGAAAAUAUGGGGAGGAUGGAGGAAGGUGGUAUUCUUGUGAAGUGAGAAAUGGGUACGAGGUUGGACUAUGGAAAACUAUUAGGAAAGAUUGGGACCUCUUUAAUAGUAAAGCCUUUUACUCUAUAAGUAACGAGAGGAAAGGGAAGUUUUGGAAAGAUAAAUGGCGUUGCAACGAGCCUCUAUGUAUAUCAUUUCCCUCUUAUUGUGCAUUAGCUUUAUUGAAAGAAAAGUGAGCAUCAGAUCUAUGAGACUAGACAAGAGAAAAGGGUCACUGGAUUCCAUGUUUUUUUAGAAAUUUGAAUGAUUGAGAAUUAGACGACGUAGAGUUUUUCUUCUCUAGAGUUCAAGGGAAGGUGGUGAUCAAGGAAAAAAAGGAUCAAUUGGUUUAUAUGGAUUCCAGGAAUGGAACUUUCUCCAUCAAAUUUUUAUAUUCUGUCUUGGAGCCAAGGAGAUCAAUUCCUUUUCCAAUAGGAGUAAUUUGGAAUUCAUAAGUACCAUCUAAAACCAAGCUUCUUCACUCAAGAGGCUAGUUGGGGAAAAGUUCCCUAUAAGUUCAACUUUAGAGGAGAUGGUGGUCGUUGGUAAAUAGAUGUUUUUUUGUGUAAAGUUGAGGGAAAAUCCAUUGAUCACAUACUCCUUCACUAUGCCACGACAAAGGUUUUAUGAAAAUUAUUGUUUUCUUUAUUUGGUAUAUCUUGGGUGACAUCUUCCACGGUUGGGAGUUUGGAUGACAUGACUUUUCUGUUGGGGAAAAACGACAAAAGGCAUGAGCUGCUCCCUUGUGCAUUUUUGGGAUAAUAUGGAAAGAAAGGAAGCAAAGAUCAUUUGAAAAUGAGAAGCAUUCUAACCAAAGCCUAAAGGCACCUUUUUUAGCAUUCUUCUUUUGUGGGUUAGUUAAGUUAUACACAGAUGAAGAUUCAAUGCCUUUGAUUGAUUUUGAAGAUUGGUUGGGGUGUCAUCGAGGGAGGGAGAAGUUUUUUGUUCUUCUUUUCUUGGUCCUACCUAAUGGUAGCCGUUGUAUACGAUUUGUGUACUUUAGUGCAUUAUUUCUUUUGGCACUUUUUAUAAUACACUCAUUUUAAUUUCCUAUCAAAAAAAUCUUGGGUGAAAAGUUGCACAUGACUUAUUUGGGCCUGCCUCUAAUAGCUAUGUAGAAGGCUUGUUCGGUUUGGGAUUCUCUUGAGGAGUGUUUUAAUAAAAGGUUAGCCUCUUUAAAAAGCAAUUCUUCUCAAAGAGGAGGUGGUUUAUACUUAGCAAAGGCACCAUUUCCAAAUUAAAGAUUUACUUACUGUGUGAUUCAGAUAAUGGUACAAAUUAGUUGUCAUGAAAGUGUUGAUAUUUGGAGAAGAAAUCGUACUUAGUAAAGGCAAUUCUUGUAAAGAGAAGGCUUAGGAUUAUCAAAAACACCAUUUCCAUCUUAUUCAUGUUCCUUUUUGCAAGGAUGAAAAGUUAGACAUGUUAAAUUAUUUUUCAUUUGACAUUUUGUUUAUCUUGCUUUCUUCUGUUUUUUUUUUUUUUUUUAAGAUAAAAGCCCAGAAAAACAUUAUAUAUAAAGAAAAAAGGGCGCACAAAGGCAUUUUGUUUAUCUAGCUUUUGAUGAUAGGAUAUUGGAACUCCAAUAUCUUUCUGCAGAAAAUCAGCUAAGAAUUCAGAUAAAUUGUCGAUUUUUCAGCAAAAAUCAACAUCCAAGGUGGCAGCUUAAAUUUGACAUUUUAUCAUGAUAAAUUCCUGAUUUUUUGGUUAUACAUUGCCAAAUUUUUCCAAAAAAUUGGCAAUCCUGAAAAUUGUAAAACAAAUCUUACUACACAUGGAGUCAAACCUUAGCCUUCUGUAAGAGAAGGAAUAACCUUUCACACCAGCUGAAGCUUUCACAUGUAAUCGUUUAGGAAGAAUUUAUCCUUAAUUUCACCAUGAUCCAAUAGUUGCUUUUCAAAAAACCAAAAAAUCUCAUUUUCCGUCAUCUGUGAACAUCAUUCUUGUUCUCUUUUAUGGUCUCUUUUGUAAUUUUACUGACAAUUUUAAACAUAUGAAAAAAAAUCAAAUCUUAAAGCAAAAGCAAAAAAUAAAUAAAUAUAUCAUAAUUAUAACUAUCCAAACAAAAGUAAAAAACAAAUAUAUAUGACAUAAUUAUAACUAUUCAAAUUCAGUCAAAUUUCAUCGAGCCACAUCUUGCAGAUAUAAAGAUAUGAUAAUCUUCUCAAUGGGCCUUUUUUUCAAUGCUUUUUGUAUAAUAAUUACAUCUAAGUAAAAUACAAACUUGCAAACAAAAUUACAAACAAUUUUUAAAAAAUACUAUACUAAAUAAACAGAAAACAACACACAAAUAAUUAUUCACAUAGAUUAACAUUUUGAUAUUAAAUGCAAUACAAUGUAUUUUUAAGUAUUGAAAUUCAGUGAAAUACAAUUUUUAUCUAUUCACUUUCAAAGUUAUAUUCAUUAUCAGCACACAUUCCAUUAUUGACCAAUGUCGCUAAUUUUAUCAUACAUAUAUUAUUUUCUUCAAAAACCGAGUUUAAUAUGUGUAUCAUUCAUUUUAAAUUUUCUUAUUUUUUGUCAAUAUUCAUUUUUUUUUUACUGAAACAUUUGCCAAUAUUGAUAUUUCUGUCAAUACCAAUAUUUUCAUCUUUGCCUGUUUGUGAUUUCAAGGAUUCUAAAAAUUACGCUUGAAAAAAUUCUGCACAAUUUUUGUGAAUGAGUAAGCAUCUGGAGAGGAAAUUGUAAUUACUGAAGUGAUUGCCUGUCGGUUUUGAUUAUGGUAGAGGAGGUUAUCAAAAGCCUUCCAAUCCUAAACAAGGCACUGUUGGGCAAGCGAUUGUGGAAGUUCCCCAUCAAGCAUGAUUGUUAGCGUAGGUGAGCCAUUCAUGGCAAGUUAGGGAAGGUUGAAGAGGGACUGUGAUCCAAGGAGGCACAUUUAAUGGGUCCCUGAAAAGCUAUUACAGUAUGUAAGGAUUCACCCUUUUUUUAAAGAAUGGAUGUUUCAGCAGCAGAUGGUCUCAAGUGUAAAUUUUGGCAAGAUGCUCAAUGUGGAGAAUUACCAUUAAAAGGUUUCCCUAUCUUUCUCUUGAAUGCAACUCAUAACAAUUCUUAGGUCGCUAACUUGUUGAAAUGCUGAGUGAAGUCACAACAACAAUUAUUCUUUUUAUGUAUCCAUGACUGGAAUUUAGAGUUGGUGGAAUUGUUUCCUCAGCGCAUUCAAACAAUGGUAAUUUGGAGAGCAUGCAAGGAUUGGUUAGUACGAAAGGAUUGCUAAGAACAAGGUCUUCUCAAUUAAAUCCUUCUAUAAGUCCUCGUCUCUUCUGCUCCCCUUCAUGCAAAGGAGGUGUCAAGUUAGAUGGCUCUUUUGAAGAUUGGUUUCUUUGCUUGGGAGGCAAGGCACAAAAGAUGAGUCUUCUAAUGCCUGCCUACAUGCAAGUUUAAGAUGUGGAGGAUGACUCUUUUUAUCUUUCAGAACUUAAGGCACUGGAUAGUAGAUUUUUUAAGACUUGAUACAUCCUUAUUAUGUAUAAAAGAGUCCUUCAAAUCUUGGCUGAAGUCAUCUAGUCAUCAUUUGGGAUGGCCAACUUUUCCCUUUUAGACCCAUUGAUAGUUUGGUAAAGGGUUAGGCAGCCAUAGGGAUUUCUCCUCUUUGCUUUGUUAGCUUGUACCUUUUGGCACAUUUCAUAUAGUUCCUAUGUACUAAGAUUCCUCCCUCUUUUUUUAGUUGCCUAUUAAUACAUAUUUCUAAUUAAUUUACUAAAGAAAUAAGAUAUAAAAAUUGUAUAAGAACGAGUAUUUUAAUUAUCAAACAGAAAAUUAGAAAUUUCAUAAGGAAUGACAAACCUCAGUUACAGUGAAUGGAAAUCUUAAAAUUUCACCUACCUGAAAACCUUAAAAAUCCUUGAAAGGUAUUUGGCACAGGAUCAAAUUCAAUUAAUUGCAUAUUUCAAACCAUGAAGAGAAGCAAGCAUAGCCAAGACGGAAGAUGAACAAGUUUCCCACACAUGUACACAAAGAAAUAAAAUUAAAGCAAUGAACCAAUUGUGAUAACCUCAGCAUCUAACAGCUAGAUAAAAAAUAAAGUGUUAAGAGAAGGAUCACACAAAUGAAAUAUUUGUUGAAGUGUAAUGAUUGGUGGACAUGCACAAACACAUAGGCAUCAAAUCUACAAAUUCUUUUGUUAAAGCAGACCUGGUGGUAAAAAUUUUCCCAAAAAAUAAAUGAGCUUCACAACUAUAAUCAACUAUGCAAUCACCUGGAUGUGACAUUGAAUUGAAAGGAAAGAAAGAGCCCAUAGAAGCAACAAAACAUACCAUGUACAACAACUUGAUCGGGUAGUUGGCCAUAUAUAACAGAAGAAUUGAGGUCAUUAAAAACUCUCAUCGGAAGUAGCCUGAUAACAAGUAAUGGGCAAAGGCGAUCAAACAGAGAAUGCUGCAGUUUCAUGGAAUCAUCAGCCGCAUAGGUUUUACUCUCCCAUUUUGUGAAGAAGCUUUCGUCAAGUCUGCUUAAGAAAAAGAGCUGAAUGGUUCACAGCAGUAACACUAACAAUCAAGUCCAAUGUUAUAAGGCUAAACAUGAAAAUAUAUCAUUGUUACUAUAGCCAAUCUUUUCUGAACAGAAUUUAGCUGACCAUAAUAGUAAAUUGAAACAAAUAAAAGCACAUCUGGUGAUUUUCUCAUAGUGAUACAGAGCAUACAUGUAAAAACAAAUUUGAACAGCAUAUCAAAUGGUAAAAUGGACUCACUCUUUCUGCCCUUUCAUGUGCAACAAGAUACGGUGGAAGACUAUGUCUGCAGCUUCUGCCAAAUGCUCACUUAUAUAACUUAAAAACCUGACAAGAGUGGCAUUUGAUGGCUCUGCAAACAUCUUGUCAAUCAAUGGUCCAAUCAACAAAUUCCAGUCUUGAACCUAUAAUGUUUCAGAAUAAACACCACUUAAUAAAAAAAUGGGCCAACUAUAGAAGUUCAAUCUCAUCAAUAACUGUCAGUUCAAGAAACAGCAUCAUUUUAAAGGUCUAUCAGAAAAGCUCAAUAGUUUUUCUGGAAUUAACUAUACAGUCACCUCAGAAUUCGAGUUUUAAUGAAUUGAAUUUUAUCCAUAUGCAUAUGUACACGCACACACCACACAUACACAUAUGAAUGAAGAAUGAAACAGCUAGAUAUUGUAAUGGCCAGAAGGAGCUGAUAUAUUUGUAUCUGCCAGUUGUCUUCAACUCAACCAGCAAAAGCAAUAUCACUUAUUCAAAAAAAAUAAUCUAACAAUUUGGAAGAUCAAAAUUCAUGUCUUAACAUGCACAAAAUGGAUAUGUCGAUCUAUGAAUUCUAAUUUACUCUCCCAUCCUCCUGCAUUUAUGUUUCUCCUUUUCCCAAAUGAAGAAUUUGGCAAUAAGCACAAUAUUGGUAACCGCUAUAGAUGUUGUAACUAAGGGGUCAUGAGAGCAACAGAUUUGUACUGCACUGAAGAAUCUGCUGACCAGGUUUUACAUUCCAUAUACAAGCAAAUAAUAAUAAGAUCAAACAAGUAUUUUAUAGUUAUGCUGGAAGGCCAAAUUAUGAAAUGAUAGAAGAAUCUAAGAAACACACAAAAAUGACAUGAACUCUUCUUGGCAGUACUGUGCAGAGACUUUUCAAAGAGAAUCUUCUUCCAUCAAGAGGAGGUACUCGUUUAUUCAGUAUCAGACCAUCCAUAGCAGUCAUAUCAAUUCUACCAAGUUAUUUAAUAAUUCCUUUUGGCUCUAACCUUGUUCUAUCCAAUCUCAAUCUCGGUGUUUUUUAUGGAUUGUCAUUCCAAGAAUUGCUCCCAUUGGACUUCUUAUUUCAGGAUGUGGAUAAGAUAAUAAAUAUUCCUUUUUAGGUGGUCUAUGAGCAACAUCAAAUGAGUAAUAAUCCAGAAUACAUUAAUAAAGAGUAGAAUUAUCAAAUCUUACACUUUCAGACCACUCUGGUAUCAGUCCAAGCACUUUUUCGGUGUCCAGUUUCGAUCCUGCUAUAGUGUUACAUAGCUGUGAGCAUGAAUUGGAUAAAGUCGUGCACUUGCACAGGAAAAUAAUCAAACACAUAACAAGUAGAAAAAUACUAAUAGAUAAUAACAAUUAAAACAAUUAGGAGCAAACACAUUCGGAGCUUGAACUUAGAGAAACAACAUAAAUAUUAAUUAUCAGUUUGGUUACAGGAAAGAGAGGAAAAAGAAGAAAUUGCAGGACCUUACAAUCAUUGGGGAUAAAAACGGUUGUUUUUUCUUUUCUUUUGAUAAGUAACCAUUUUUUUGGUCCCUGCUGGGCUUCAAACCUGGAACCUCCCAGAUCCCAGCCCAAUCCUUGCCACUUGAGCCAGGCCUAAAGUGCAUCUUUGUUAUAAUUUUCUUUUAUUUCCUCUCUCUUCAAUAUAAUGUCAGGCACAAAUGAAGAAAAACAUGAAAAACAUGAAAAACAUGCACAGGAGAACCUCUAAAAAGAGGAAAGAUUCAACAGUAAAAACAAUUUUCAAAUAAAUAGAUCAAUUGGGUAUCAUAACUCUUUUUUUUUUUUUUUUCUUGUAUCAGUACAAAGGUGGAAUUUUCUGGACCACACUGUUACAAUAGUGAAAAACACCAACUCUAGAAAUGAGAAUGGUUGGUCAUUCAAUCAAAUGGAAGAAAUUUAGACAUAAAGCUGAGCCCAAUCAAAGAUUAGGUAGCAGAAACACUGAGAGACACACCUUCCUCAAUAUCUCCCGAAGUUUUUGGAAGACCUAGGCUUUGGCUGAGGUUGCUGCAGCAAUAAAGAGUAAACAUGCAAAAUUGACAUCUAGUAUAACAAAUUUGGAAUAAACAGAUGGAAUUUUCAAGAAGAGUUUUCAGAAACAAGAAUUUCCCUUUUUAUAUUCUUCAUACUUGGGAGAAACAGAAAAUAGAAAUAGCAAAAUACCUGAGACUGUCAAGCAGCAUACUGAGAACCUCAUAAUUCUGGUUAUGAUUCUUGAGCAGUGCUGUCAUUGCAUCACUAGCAGAUGAUUGCACCCUUUCAUUUGAUGAGUAAACAAGACGAACCAGUGCAGGCAAAACUAAUAAAGGAUCUGCAAGCAUAAGGAAAGAGCCCGCUUAUGCAAGCACUAUGACCUCCGAUUAAAAAGGAAAAAGACGUCCUAGACCAAAAUACCAACAGAAUCAAGAACAGCUUAAAAAAGGUUUGUCCACACCACCUGAUGACUACCUAGGUUAUUAACAGAGAGAAUUCCCAAUAGAAAAUGGAACUAGGGGUGAAUUUUUUAUUUUAUUUUUGAUAAGUAAAGCAAUUGUAUUAAAAGCGCCAAAAAAGCACCUAAAGUAUGCACGAUGCAUACAAGGCCAAAAAAAAGGAGGGACUGACAAAAAACAACACCCUCACUUCACUUACAGCCCAACCAAUCUAUUGAUCUGAAUUACUACUCAAUUGAUGUGAAAGUAUGCUUAUUGAAUGAGAAUAUUUUUCAGAUAUAAAACAAAUAAAAAUAAAAAUAAUAGGAACAUGAAUAUUGAGUCAGAUCAACGGUUUCAGACCACAUAUGAUGCAACAUCCUAUACACAGCUAUCAAAAAAAAUUAAAAACAUAUAUUCUUUUUAGAGAUAAUAUUGAUCUAGAUACACAAAAUCUACAGCAGGCAUAUAAGAACAGAAAGAUUAAAAUAAAUAGGAUGAGGUGAAAGGCCUGCAUACAAAGAACAAGUAUCCACCCUCUAGAGAAGGGAUAUUUAACCUGUUAAAAGAUACUUAUACAAGAGUGACAAAAGAGACCAUUCAAACCUUACAUUCAUUAAUAACAUCCUGCAUCAAUCCCUUUAACAAAAUACCCUUUCCUUUUUCUAACAAAAGGAUGAAAAAACAGCAAAGUGAUAAAUUCAGCAUGAACUCUACAGAGCUAAUCAUUCAACAAAAACAAGUUAGGAAAAAAGUGCAACACCACAAAUCUGCUCUAAAAUAUGGACCAAAUGCCAUGAGAAAGGUAAUUACAUUUGGUGAUGAAAUUGCAUGUGAACUUCAUCUCUUAUUUCUAUCUUUCUUAAAAUACUCAAAGUUCACAUCAGAAGAAUUCAUUGGUGGCCUGACCCAAAAGUUUAUACUACUGCCCCAGCUGCACAGCCUGAUCUUAGGCAAUAUCAAAUUCAUGUGUACAUUUCAAGCAAUAACAAUUUGGCUUCAAAAAAGAAGUAUAGUAAAAGAAGUAUGUCCAUUACUGUAAACAUGCAAACAAAUGGAAAAAACCUAUCCUAUAAGACAAAUAUCGCAAGCAUUUUAGCUAAAAGUUAGCAACAUAAUUUUCACUAACCAAUCUUGGGAAGCAAAUUGGAGGCCUGUACAUUUAUUAUCUCUUCUUCAUCUCCAAGGCACUCUAGCAAGUGUUUUGAUAUAUCUUGCCUGAAACAAACUUAGGAACAUGAUAUCAAUAAAAGGUACAAAAAGGCAAAAGUGAAAAUCGAGUUACAAAAAAUCAUCUGUCAAAAGAAGUUCCAUACCACAUUGAAUGAGAAAGUGCAGUUACUGAAUUUGAUGAUAUGUGGAUGAGUUCUGAGAUAACAUCCACAGCAUUCCUUCUCUGCGAAGCAUUUCCAGAUGCAAGGCGCUCAAGAACUUCAUCAAGGCACUGACCAUUAGGGUUUCUGGUGAACCAGGUACAUGGAUCAGGUUUGACACAUAACAUAUACCAUGAAAUAUAAAUUCACUCUUCAACUUACAACUACUAAUAAGUAAUAAGAGUAUAACAAUACAUAGAGCAGUAUUCUGCAACAAGCAUAACAACAGCUUUGGCUGUUCCAUCCCGCUCAUCCAGAAGGGGUAGCAGCAAUGGUAGCACUGAAUCCAUCUGUCUAGUGUCAGAAAGACUGCUUCUGGAUGAAGAAUAGUUCAUCUUAAAGAUGACUGUCUUAAAAAUGCAAACAACCCCAUCUAUUACAUCUUCAUCAGUGCAGCAAAGCUUCAAUAGAUCCAAGAAAGGAAUGAAAAUACAAAUUGCACAAUUAGUUCAAACUAUACAUAACUAUUCUAAACACAAAUAUUAAAAAAAAAAUAUAUAUAUAUAUAUAUAUAUAAUAUGAACACUUCAAAUAUAACAGCUGAAUAUCAUUAAAGUUGGUCACAUGCAAAUCGUGCCAGGGAAGCUCUAUGAUUGGUGAAAAUAGGCAUCAAGGCUUUCAGCUGAGCAGACCUGCAUGCCACAGUGGCCCAGAACUAGUUCUAGGAAAACUUCACAAGACUCUUCAGAUCAUGUUGGGCCUAAAAUAAGAUAGAUGAUAGUACCAUCAUAACCAGACUUUGAGUAAGUGGACCCAAAUGUUUUGAUUUGCCUUUGCUAACACAUAAAUUUAAUACAUAAGAUGUCUACAAUUUUGUAUAAAACCAAAAUGUAUAUAAAACGGAUAGUUUUGGCAUAGGUCGCCCAUCAGGUGUAGAAAAUGAACUUGAUAGCUCCUUCUAUUUCUGUAGGACCACAUAGCCUAAAACCAUCAUAGGCAACCCAAUUGGAUAAAAUUUAGGCCUAAUUCAAUGGAUCAAAUUAUACAGAUUUGAGGGAGUACUGGUCCCCUAAUGUCAUCUAUGUACUUUUAUUACCAUCUAGCUUCAAUAACUAUGGUGUCUGUAAUUUUACAUUAAAACCUUAGUGUUUUACAUAUAGGAUGUGCACUUCUUUUGGUAGAUGUUACCCAUUGAAAUAGAUCAAGAUAGAUGAAGUGGAACCAUCCCUCAAGUGUGUUGUGUCAUAAGUGUAUACAUAUCAAAUGGAAGGAAAAAGUUUUACAGAACAGCUAAAGGACCAUCCAUGCUUUGCAGUGCAGAAUGUUGGGGGGUCCCUCAGAAAAAAAUAUAGGCUCCUAAGUAAAAUGAUAUGCAAAUAAAAUGAGAUUAACUAACAUAUGGGAUGCUGAAAUAGAUGAAUAGCAACUUAGCAAGACAAGAUUGGCUAGAACAACAAAUGAAUACAUCUACAAUAAAUAGCAGGUGGCACUAAUUAGGCUCAAGAUGCAAGAAAAUAAAAUUAAUUAGCCUGGUCUUGCCAGGUUGAAGAAUAUUUACAAUGCACUAGUGAGAAGUUAGACAUGGUAUCUACUGUUUCACUUUUGCCAAAAUGCAAGUGGGGUGGAUAUAUGGGGGGGGAUAGAGAAGGGCCAAGACUCCAAUAGCACAUUGGAAUCCUAGAUUUUGAAGGUUUUUUUAGGACUGGGAAUUAUAUGUGAUAGGUUGAUUUACGAAGCAUAUUACUUCUGUGAAUCAUCAAGAAGAACAGACAGAUAGGUUAGUUAGGAGAUGUGUCACUGACCAAUUAAUGAGAUGAGGAUUGCAUUUGGCAAACAGAUGUAGUUUGUGUAAGAUAUGGGAUUUCUUAUUUACUAUUUUUAGGAUUCAGUGAAUUCUUUCAGGUCAGUCUGGAAUCUUCUAUUAAGUUACCACGUAAAAGGUUUCAAGAAGAAGCAGAGAAAGGUUUGGAGGUUGGCUCCUAGAUGCUUGCUCCAGUGCCUAUGAAGAGAUCAGAAAGAGUUUUUAAUGAAAAGGAACAUUUUGAUUAGAAAUUCAAAGAAAGAGAAUCUAAAUCUCUUAUGGAGCAGUCCAGAGACCCAUUAGGGUUGGACUUAAGAGGGUUGUUCCAUGUUAGCCUUCAUUGAUGGUUUAGGAUAGGAUAGGCAAGGAUUGUGGUUUUUAAGUCUUCUUUUCCUUUGCUUGUCCUCUUGUAGUGCUCUCCAUAUGCCUACUGUGUACAUGGGUUGUGCCCCCACUUGCACAUUUUAAUGUAUUCUACUACUUGCAUAAUAAAAGAAAAAAUGAAAUUAUUAACCCAAGUAGCAAGAACACUUCUAAAGAAGUUGUUUCUGUCUUGUGGUUAGAUAUAAAUAAUGAAGAAUAAAAGUUUCAGGUAGCAGCAACCAGGGCUGAGAUGGAAAAAAAUUAAUUGAACUGUUCACAAGUAAGGAGGUAGAUACCGUCUAAGCCUAAGGUGCUCCUGAAUUGUAAGGUCUAGCAAAGCUAGCCAUUUCACGGAGUUGGACAUGUGGACAUGCAAUGUGUUUCUAAGGGUCCAGCAGCUAUUUGUUUCUCUCUCUCUCUCUCUCUCUUUUAUUUAUGGCAAAGAGAAAGAAUGAAUAUGAAAUUAGAACCACCUAACAAAAAGGGAGCACAUCCAAGUACAGGUACUAUACAGUGAGCACCAAAUGCACCAACAAUUAGUUUGAACCAACAUGAUAUGGAUGCUUCUGGAACAGGAGCUUUGUAAAUCUAUAGCAUGAAUACUACUCUCCAAUUCUAAGAAUUUGAAGCAUUGAUGUGUCAAUAACAUGUCAAGAUUCUGUAGCUCAUCGCAUUAUGUGUCAUACUGAUUUCAUGGCUACCUAAGUUUCAUCAUAAAAUACCAUUUUAUUCCCCCCUCCAUAGAAGCCUAUUUGAAGUAGUCUGUCCAUGUGCCCCAGAAAUUGACAUUUAAUGCUUUCUUCCAAUUGCACCCGAGGAGCAUAAACUAAGGCUAUAAUGUUAAGAAAUUCCUACUUACAUAAGACAAAUACUUCAGCCUUAAGUAAACCAAUAUAAUUUCUUAUGCCAGGAUAGAAACAUUAAAUCUAGAGGUUUACCUUCCAUGUAAGUUUAUCAGUUGUUUAUCUUCUUAGUUCAAGCCCAAGGGAAAAUAUGAAAAGAUCUAUGGAAAUGCCAAAAAAUAAAAAAGACACACAACAACUACAACUCUAUAACAACUAGCAUGUGAUAAGUAUAAAAUAUGCCUGCAAGAUUCACAGGGAAUUCAUCCAUAACUACCAUGAUUCAGAUGCUAAUACCAGUAAAAUAAAACCCAGAAAACAGGCCACUCCUGCUGUCAACAAGAUAAAAACUCAAAGCAUAGAUAAGAAGUUGUUUUGUGUAGAAGUUCUGAAACUUAAGGAAUUCCAGUGCACAUUAUAUACUGUUCUCAGGUAGGAAAUAAUUGCAAAAAGUCAAAUAUACCUACCUGUGGUAUAAGAGCACACGAUAUCUUCAUUCCAUAUUCUGUCACAGUUCUUUCAAUUUGCUUCCCAUCUAACCGCCCCAACAGAAGUGAUAGGCAAUUCAAGAAAAACUUUCUGGUUGCUAUACCAGUGUCUGUAUUCUUAGUAUGCUGCUUGCUGUCACUAUCUGUAUAAAACUGCAAAUACUGUGAAUUAGCAAUCAACUCCUAUAACAGAAGGUAUAUAUGCAAUAAAAAAACACUAUUCUAACUCAUGAAUCAUUAUUUAUAAAGAUUUUCUCAAUAUCUAGUCUGAGUUUCAACCUCAAAACCUUGAUUGAAAGCAGUGCAAUAUAAUCGGAACCGAAUAAAUACUAAAAUGCACAUGAGAUUGCUUGAUCAAAUAUCUCUUACCUUGUUAUAAGAGCAUAGUCUCAACUAGCCAAGCUAGCCUGCAAAUAUCAUUGCUAUCCAAAAAAUCUAUCUAUUUGUACACAGAGAUUUACUUGCACUAUCCUUAAAUCAUAUUGUCAAAACCUCAAAAUUAAAUUUGUUCAUACGUUCUUAUUUCCCAAACAAGACCAGACAAACUCAAGAGAACAUUUUCUGCAAUAAACAUCAAACUGCUUCAUCUUGAUUUUCUCAAUUCUAAGACUCUAAAGCAGUAAAAGCAUAAACAAAACUGAUAUUCUUUGGGUACUAACCUGAAUUGCAGAUAAGUACUGGUCCAAUAAGUCUUUGUAUUGCUGAGAAAAUUUUUUAUCCUCCAAGUGCAGCAGCAUGGCAUAAUGCUUCCAACAAGAGGAAAGUAGCAAUACUCCAGCUUUGGGAACUUUUGAGCCUAUCUUCCACAUUGCAGACAAAGAAAUCACUAUCUUUGAAAAUUGGACAUAAUAAAAUAGGCUAUUCUUAAAGCAUGAAUUAGCUAUAGGACCUGCCUCAUCUUGAGAGCAGCCAUAAUGCUCUUUUAUCUCUUGCAACCACUUAAGCACUUGCUCCAAUCCUUUUGCAUGUAAAGGCCGACUUUUUCUGCUCCACUGAACAGGAAGGUAAAAACAUGAAUGCAUUGGAAAAUUAAUCUAUUUCAGAAAUUCAAGUAGAUCACUAAGUGAAGCAAAUCACUGUGGAAACAAGUUAACCAAAAUUUAGAACAAGUGCAAUCACCAUAAACUAAGUCUCUUUAAGAUUUGGUAACUGUUUCCAAGUUCAGUCAGAGAGCUUCCCUUCUUUUUUUUUUUUUCUUUUUUUUUUUUUUUUUGUUCCUUUUCUCUAAUUGGAAACAACCAUUUCAUUGGAGUUUAAGAGCUUCUUUCAGCAUGGCAUGAUGGAUUCAUGGUAGAUGAAUCUUAAUUAAUAAAAGAAUACCCUGAUUUAAUAUUUCAUCAAAUGAAUACUCUUUUGAAAUUAAAGGUAAAGGUUUGCUGGUAUGAAAUUUCCCAACUUAGAGGCUGAUUUCUUUUACUUAAAAGCAGAGCCUUGAUGCUUGACAAGUUUAGCAAGUGUAUUUACGUCCUUGAACCAACAGAUUUUCUUCAUCCUUCUCAUGAACUCUUUAUUCAUAAUUAAUACAUCUCUCAUUUUUUAUUUAAAAAAAAAAAAAAAGCCUAUGGAUUUUCCUUGGAUUGAGGGGUAUGUUUCUUCUUCUAUUUUUUUCUAUCUUGAAAUACAUUACCAACGGAUUUUCUUCAUCCUUCUCAUUAACUCUUUAUUCAUAAUUAAUACAUCUCUCAUUUUUUAUUAAAUAUAUAUAUAUAUAGAUAGAUUUUCCUUGGAUUGAGGGGUAUGUUUCUUCUUCUACUUUUUUCCAUCUUGAAAUACAUUGCUUCCUUCUGGAAGACUCCUUGUCUUAUUCAUAUUGUUUUCCUUUCAUAGGUCUUGUCCUCCUCUGAGUUCUUCUUGUUCUUAUUCACUAAAAACUAAGUUUACGAAUACGUUGCUCCCUUUUGGAAGACUCCUUGUCUCAUUCAUAUUGUUUUUCUUUCAUAGGUCUUGUCCUCCUCUGAGUUCUUCUUGUUCUUAUUCACUAAAAACUAAGUUUACUCUCCGAAUCAACUCUAUUUUGAGGUGAUAGAUUUGAAGUAUUUCUAGGGAAGUUAUGUACUCUCCGUCAUACCCAAUCGACUAUUCAAUAAUGGCUAUAAGAAAUUUAGCAAAGAUAAAACAUAGCAUGCAGAAAAGUCUAGGACAAAGUAGAACAAAAACAAAAAAUGGAAAUAGUAAUUAUUUUCAUAAGUGUUCCAAUAGCUGCAGAUGAAAAACUAAAUCAGCAAGCCCCAUGGUAUAGGUAAAACAAAAGAAUAGAGGCUGAAAAAUCCCUUUGACAUGAAGGAAUCAAAAAGAUGGUUUCUUAUUUGAUAUAAAGAAGAAAAAGGAUAGAAAAAAAAGAGGAGGGGAGGGGGAAGGAAAAGGUAGCAGGGAAUGGGGUUAGGAUAGCAUAUCAGUUGGAUAACAUUUUCUGCUCAAUCAAAAUUUCAGACAUCAAUAAAACGUUCAAAUCCUAUUCAGAGAGAGCUAUGACUACUAAAUCUAGAACCAUGCUGACAGCGAGCAAUCUCAGAAGUUGCAUUUCUGUUUCCUUUCUCAAUUUGCAUAUUACAAUUGAAUAAAAAAGAAUACACUUACAAAAAAAAUGCAAAAUCAUAUAAUAAAUGAACGUGAACUCUAAAUUGAGCCCCUCAAAUUCCAAGGUAAAUACAGGACAUUAUAACACCAGAAUUCAAGACAGGGUAACAAAUGGAUGGAACAAAGAUUAGUUUAGAACAUACAGCAAGGAGUCUCUGCACAAGAAUAAUGAGCUUGUCUAUAUGAUCCCAAAGCAACAAUUCCAUUUCCAAUUUAUUGGAGAAUUCAGCAGAUUUACUUGUUGGUUUCACUUUCUUCUCACCAACAGCAGCAGGUACCAAGGUCGUUGGCAGAUUUGACACAUCUGAAUUAGAUGAUUUUGAUCUUCUACUUGAGACAUCAGUGAUUGAUGUUUUUAUUGUUAAUGCUUUCGUGAGAUCUAAAAUGCAAUCAGCAGCAGCCACUGAAAGACGAGUUGGCAACUGAAAUCCAUCCUGCACAGUGCUACAGAUACAAAUGCUUGAACAUGAGAAAAGCAAACAGGAUGAAUUUAUUAAGACACAAUCUUUUAUGCUUAAAAACAAUAGGGAACCCUGAAAGGAAACUAUCAUGCUAGCACGAGAUUUAAGAUUGCUAACUCAGAAAGUUACCACAAGACAUGAUUUGUUCAAUAAUGAUAUGGACUCCAAUCCAAAAAAAAUUAAUAUGAUGAAUGAACUAAAACAAUAUAUAAACCCUAAAGCAGACACUUAAGUAACUGUUCUUUCAAUUUGUAAUUAAUUACUUGGUGGAAGUGGAGUUAUAUAUUAGUAAUGCAAUGUCAAAGACACCCACCUUCCAUUGCACACAAUAAAUGUAAGACGUGAAAUACAUGAACAAAGAAUCUUCAACAUGGCAUUAUAAAUCUUCCUUAUUCCUGCAAUAAGAAAGAAAUCCAUAUUUCAGUAAAUCUACAGUCCUAAGGAGUAAUUGUGAAUCAGCUUCCAAAAAAAAUCAAUGCUAAUAAUAGAAGAGAACUUGUGAUUAUUUUUUAGGAACCAAAGCUGCAGUACUAAAAGAGAAAGAACUUCGUUUGUUUCUCCUAUCUUUCAAUUGAGAGAACUUGGCCAUAAAUGGCUCCAACCAAAAAUUGGAAACAUUCAAUGCAUGACAUGUCCCACAAGAAGGGAUCCAAUUAUGCAAGAUUGUAAUCAACAUCCAGUGAGAGAUAUUUCGAUAGAAAAGGAUAAUGAUAAUGCCACAUUACCAUUAUUUGAAAAUUGAUCCAUACUAAUCUCAUACUCUACAAGGCCACGUACAAGGGUACACCAUCCAAGAGCAAUAUAUCGAUCCUCUUUUCUCAAUAUAAUGUCAGCAAGACCCCUUGCAAGAGCUUGGAAAAGAAGUUCAUCUUGAAAGAGCCAGUUAAGAAGUACCAUUGCUUGAUUUCCAUGCUUUGACUCCUUGCACUUCAAUGACUGGAAAAUAAUAUAUAUGUGCACACAUGAUAUGAACUAACAUAAUAAAUAUCUAGUAUCAAAUGUGCAACUAGGCAAGAACAGAAGGCAAGGAUAUGGGCAAGUUCCACUCCUUAAUGAUACUUCCACAUAUUAUUUAUAUAUGCACAGAUAAGUAGAUGGAAGAGAGAAAUAGAACCCUAGAAAAAUCAGAGAAACCACAGCUUGGCAAAACAAACUCCCAUGUCCUAAAUUUCUGUGGAACUAUAAAUCAAUCUCAUUUCUAACGAAUAAAAUUUUCCCACUGCUAAGACAUUGUUUAAUAGCACUGUUUUCCUGCCAGAUAAAGGACAAAUAUUAACUAACAACUGUCAAGCAAAGCUGGUCCCAAGUUUUUAGGACUGUCAUUCUUAGACCAACUCAAUGGCCAAUGCAACACCAGAAAAAAUAUCUAGUGUGGGUGUCAACACAGUCUAGUUUACGGAUUGAUGUUUUUAAAAUGCAUUUGGUUCUUUUUCAUAAUUUUAACCCAACAAGACUUAAAAGGAAAGAAAUUCAUUCUUUUCCAAUAUGAUAUUCUCUUACAUUGGAAGGACGAAUUUGAAAAUAAAUAGGUUUUUCAUUAUAUUUCAGAUUUGUCCUUCUCCAAUACCAUAUUCUCUUAAAUUGAUAGGAAGAAUUUGAAAAUAAAUAGGUUUUUUCACUACAUUUCAGAAAGGGUCAGGGAAAGAAUAAUGAAUUUGAAAAAACUUCAUCCCAUCCCCCAAUUUGUACCUUUUCAGAAUAAAGAAUAAAAUUUUAGAUGAUUUACAAAUAUUCAAAUAAUUUUCAUUAUAUUUAAUCUUCACUUUCCUGUCAAUCUUCUGCUCUAUUUGAAUCACAAAAGCUAUGCUUGGUUCUAGGAAGGUACUAAGAAAGGGAAAAAUGUUAGAAAGAAUGAUUUUCUCAUUUUUUGUUUGACAUAAAAAAAUAUGAAAAGAAGAUCAAAUACAAUUGGAAUCAAUUAAAAGCUUAUGCAUUUAAUCUUAAUAAGGAUAUAAAAAUAAUUUAUUAAUUUUAAAUCAAUUUUUUACCCUUUUCGAUUUUUUUCGUUCUUCCUUUUUUUUUUUUUUCACCUCACAUUUUUCUUCAAAUUUUCCAAUAACCAGAUUAAAGUAAAAGAAAAAAUAAAUUUGAAAAUUAGGGGGAUAAAGUAUAUCUAAAUCUAUUUUUAUUUUCCUUUCCCGCUAUGUUCUUUCUUUGCGUUGUACUUUCUCUCAAACUUUUCAAGAUCCAAACCAGUCUUCAAAAUCCAAGAACUAUGAUAAAAAUCAUAGAUCACCACAAUUCCAGUAAGUGUAAUAAAAAAGAAUGGGGGAAUUGAAUUUUCAUACAUGCUCGAUCAUGGGAACAAGAAUUUCAUCCAGUCGCUCCUCUUUAUCGGCAGCUUCUUUGAUAUACCUAUGGAGGAACCAAAGCGAAUCUUCCAAAGAAACUGCACAACACGCAUUGAAAAUAACAAUUCCCUUAAAAAUUCAUACACGAGCAAUGAAAUCAUAACAAUCAGCCCUCCUCUUUCUAUAUUCCUCUUCCCUCUCUAGCUCUAUAACCCUUUCCAUUUCUGUCUACAACUCACCGAUCGAACCUCUCUUUGAGGGGGAAUCGAGGCGAGAAAUGGCUUCGUCGAGCUUUCUGGGACGACAAGUGAGUAGAGUGCUCAUUGCUCUGCCUAUGAGUACUGAAGCCAUUGAAUCUGUGUCGGAUUUCCAUAUUACAGCUUCUUCUUCCAUUGAAAAUAGAAGCCCUAAUCCACACUAACGGACGAAAACAACAAGGUUGGAGUAUAUGGUUUUAGCCUUUUAGGUUUGUUUCCUCUUUUCAAGCCAGUUCUUGCAAGCACUUCUCCGAAAAUGCUUCUUUCAAAUCCACCGCCUUCCAGCGGUGCCCUCAGAUGCAGCUGGUACUUCUGCUCUUUUAAAUCCACCGCUUCAAGUGAUGGAAAAUAAAAGACAAAAUUUAAAAAUUAAAAUAAAUAAAUAAAUAAAUACUCAAAAUUUUAAAAAUAUUUUUAUAUUUAAAUUUUGUUAAAAUUUUAAUAUAAAUAUUAAAUAUUUUUAAAAUAUAAUAUUUUAAUUAAUUUAAUUAUUUUCUAGUAUUUUUCUAGUAAAUCAAGACAAAAAUAAUAUUCAAUAAUUUUUAAAACCAAACAUGAAUUCUAAAUCAAGAGCAACUCACACAAAUUAGGGCAACUGGGGUGUUUAUACAUAUAUAUGGGUUUUUUCAUGAGUUAUUAAGUUUAAACUUAUUAAUAAAAAAAAUUAUCAAAUAAAUUUUUAAAUGUUAAAUAUUUCAAAUUUAUCAAACAUAUGAAAAAUAAGAUUUUAAAAGUUAAAUAUUUCAAAUUUAUUAGACAAAUUAUAAAAUAAAAUUUAGAAGCCUAAAUUUAUUUAAAAAUAAUAAUAAAUAAUUGGUUUUUCAAAAACAAUUAUCAAAUAGCCUUAUAAUGAUUAUCCAGCAAUAUUUUUAAAAGCAAUCAUUAUAAAACAUCUCUCAUAUUUUUUUGGUUUAUUUUUUAGAAGGAUUUAAUGUGCAAAUUUUUAAUAAUGUUUUUCAUCUUUCAAUUAUUUACUAUUGACACUUAAAAAAAAAAACUCAUCACCUUAAAUAUGUUUUACAAAUAAUUUAUAUAUAUUUUGCAAUACUUUAAAAAUCUUACUCAUCAUUGAACUUGAAAAAUUAUUGAUUCAUGGUUUCUUAGUUAGAUCGAUGGUCUAUGAUCGAAUCAAUGACAUCAUAAAUAUACCAUUUAUAUUUUAUUAAAAUUUAAAUUUUAUUAAAUAAAACAUGUAUAACAUUUAAAUAUAAAAAUGUAUAUUGAGAAUUGAAGAUAAUUUGUAUUAUAUAUAUUACAAGUUUAAAAAUAUAUUAGAUGAUUUUACUUAUAUUGAAUUUCUAAAAUGAUAUACCUAUUUUAUUCUUUGAUUUCACAAAUUUUAACAUGUUUAAAGCCUUUUUUCUUACACGUUUUGAAUCCUAUUUAAAUAAGCUACUACCCAUCCUACAUAAAAAAAAUAAAUUAAAGUAGACAAAAAAAGGUUUAUAAACCUUGUUCAACCUCAAUAGAUCACAUGACCUUUGGCCAGUUGAGAGGCAAUGCAGUGAGUGAUGGAAAAAAUAAAUGAAAUGUUUAGUUAAAAUUAAUGAAAUAAUUCACAAAUCAAUAAUCUAAAAGUCUGUUGGGUAAUUAUUAUAAAAAAACGUUUUUAAUAUUUAUAAUACUUAAAAAAUUUUAUCAUUCAAGUAUUAAAAAUACUAUAAACUUUUUUAAAAAUCAUUAUUCUAACUAUUUUUCAAGUUUUUUUUUAAAUAAUUAAUUUUUGACAUAAAUGUUAUUUUCUCAUUUUAUAUUUUAAGUAUUUACAUGUAAAUUUUAAAAUAAAUUGUUAUUUUUAAAAUAAAAUAAUGGGAGCAUUUUUAUCAAGGGAGAAUUAUGUUUUGGGGGUAGAUGGGGCCCCAAAUUAACAAAAGGUCCAUGUAACUCUUCAAAUUGAGCUCAAGACCCAAUGAAAGUAUGGAAAUUGAGUUGAAAGAUAUCAUCUUUCAGUAUUUCAAAAAAUGUACUUUGUUGAUUUUGAGAAAAAAAAUUAAUAUUUUUGAAAAAUACUUUUAUUUAAUUUAAUAUUUUUUUUAUUUAAUUUAAUAUUUAAAAAAAAUACUUUUAUGUAAUUUAAUAUUUUUUAAAAUACUUUUAUUUAAUUUAAUAUAUUUUAAAAAUAAAUUUAUUUAAUUUAAUAUAUUUUAAAAAUAAAUUUAUUUAAUUUAAUAUUUUUUUAAAAUAAAUUUAUUUAAUUUAAUAUUUAAAAAAAAAUUAAUUUAAUAUUUUUUAAAUACUUUAAUUUAAUUUAAUAUUUUUGAAAAAAAAAAUUUAAUUUAAUAUUUUUGAAAACUUCUUUUAUUUAAUUUAGUAUUUUUGAAAAAAAAAUUAUUGAAAAAAAAUUAUUUAACUUAAUUUUAUAAAAUAUUUUAUAUGUGUUCUUAAAGGGUUUAUUUGUCUGUUACUAUUUCACAUCCUUCAACUCAAUUUGAAGAGUUAUAUGGACCUUUUGUUAAUUUGGGGGUCCAUCUACCCCUAAAAGAUAAUUAUCCCUUUUAUCAAAAUGAUACAAAAAAAUAGUAGAAGAUUAAAUUUCAAAAAUUGAGUUUUGAGAGACCCUUUUAAUCAAAUAACUCAAAAUAAAUUUGUAACGUUUAUUCAAAUAAUGAUAUUUAUUUAUUUUUAUAUAAAUUCCUUUCCCCUUUAGACUAUUUAUAGUAAGUUUUAAGAGAAAAUAUUAUUAUAUUUUUUUUUAAAUGACAUUUUUAUUAGAAAGAAACCAAAAAAAAGAAGGUUUAGAUUUUUUAAUUUAGAUUUUCAAUUAUCUUUUUAACUAAAUAUAUGUUUGGUUCUGAAAAAUAUUAAGGAAAUAAAAAAAAUGUAAAAUAAAAUUAUAUUUUCAUAUUUAAUUGUAUUAUAAAAAACAUAAAAGAAAAUCAAAUAAAAUUAAAAUUAAUUAAAAACUUAUAUAUUUUUGAAUUAUUUAAUAUCUAUAUUGAUGAGUUAAAAUAAAUAAAAUAAAUUUAAAAUAAAUAAUAAUAAUUUAUCGGCUCUUAAUCUAUUUUUUAUCUAUUUAUUUAUUUAUUUUUCCUUAUAACAUCCCUAUUUUAUUAAAUUUAUGUUUCUCCGUUUACCAAAGCGCUGUCGUUUUGACUCUGCAUACGUCGAGGUUUCUCCACCGAGCCAAAUCAUCGCCCCGGCAAUUCUACCUUCAAACCAAAAAGCCGGAGCUCUGAUGCUUCAUCAGAUUCCUAGAAGUCCAUUUCAGCCUCAAACCCAUACCCCUCCGUCAAAACCUCUCCCAAUAACCCCACAAAAUCCAUUAAACCAAUCAAGCGUUGAACACAACUACAGAAAUAUCUGCAACCUUCUCCUCUCCAUAACCCACUCAAGGUCUCUAUUCAAGGGCUUACAGCUCCAUGGUCACAUCGUCAAAUCAGGGUUCUUAACCAUUCAUCUCGUUUGCCACCACCUCAUCAACUUCUACUCGAAAUCCCAACUGCCACACUACUCCCGCCAAGUUUUUGAAGAAACCCCAGUAAAAUCUUCCACCACUUGGAGCUCUGUGAUCUCCGCAUUUGCCCAAAAUGAGCUUCCUUCGCUGGCUAUCGACUUUUUUCGUCGGAUGCUGGAUAAUGGGGUUCGACCCGAUGACCAUAUAUUCCCGAGCGCGACCAAGGCGUGUGGGAUUCUUUCGCGGUGUGAUAUUGGGCAAUCGGUACAUUCGUUUGCUGUGAAAACUGGGUAUGAUUGCGACGUGUUCGUGGGAAGUUCUAUGGUUGAUAUGUAUGCAAAGUGCGGGGAAAUUGGAGAUGCUAGGAAAAUGUUUGAUGAAAUGCCGGACAGAAAUGUGGUUUCUUGGAGUGGAAUGAUAUAUGGGUAUUCCCAGAUGGGUGAAGAUGAGGAGGCUUUGAGGCUGUUUAAGCAAGCUUUGAUAGAGGACUUAGAUGUUAAUGAUUUUACUUUUUCCAGUGUUGUUCGGGUUUGUGGCAAUUCAACGCUUCUCGAGUUGGGGAAGCAGAUACAUGGGUUGUGCUUGAAAACGAGCUAUGAUUCAUCAAGCUUUGUGGGCAGCUCUCUGAUAUCCCUGUAUUCAAAAUGUGGAGUGAUUGAAGAUGCGUAUCUGGUUUUCCAUGAAAUACCAAUCAGGAAUCUUGGCAUGUGGAAUGCAAUGUUGAUUGCUUGUGCUCAGCAUGCCCACACAGAGAAAGCCUUUGAUCUGUUUAAACAGAUGGAAGGUGUUGGGAUGAAACCGAAUUUCAUAACCUUUUUGUGUGUGCUUUAUGCUUGUAGCCAUGCGGGGCUAGUUGAGAAAGGGCAAUUCUACUUUGAGCUAAUGAAGGAGUAUGGGAUCGAGCCUGGAGCUCAGCACUAUGCUUCCAUGGUGGACCUACUUGGCCGCGCUGGAAAAUUGAAGGACGCAGUUUCUAUUAUCAAGAAAAUGCCCAUGGAGCCAACAGAGUCUGUCUGGGGAGCUCUACUGACAGGAUGUCGAAUCCAUGGAGAUACAGAGUUAGCUUCUUUUGUAGCUGACAGAGUCUUUGAAUUGGGCCCUGUGAGCUCAGGCAUACAUGUGCUAGUAUCGAAUGCCUAUGCAGCUGCUGGAAGGUACGAGGAGGCAGCCAGAGCCAGGAAGAUGCUGAGGGACCAAGGCGUGAAGAAGGAAACAGGGUUGAGUUGGGUUGAGGAAGGAAACAGAAUCCACACAUUUGCUGCUGGUGACAGGUCUCACCCUUACACCAAAGACAUUUACAAAAAGUUGGAAGAAUUAGGUGAAGAAAUGGAACGAGCAGGUUAUAUAGCAGACACCAGCUUUGUGCUGCAAGAAGUGGAUGGUGAAGAGAAGAACCAGACAAUCAGGUACCAUAGCGAGAGACUAGCGAUUGCAUUUGGGCUCAUCAGCUUCCCACCUGAGAGGCCAAUCCGGGUCAUGAAAAAUUUGCGAGUUUGUGGUGAUUGCCACACUGCCAUCAAGUUUAUGUCCAAGUGCUGUGGAAGAACUAUCAUUGUUAGGGAUAAUAACCGGUUCCAUCGAUUUGAGGAUGGAAACUGCUCAUGCCGUGAUUACUGGUAAUUGAAUUGUAAGCAUCUGUAUCCCUUAGGCCAAUUUUGAUCCAUUUGGGUAGUGGAAAGGAAGAGGGAAAAUGCGAGUGUAGGGACUUGUGUCGAUUGAAUUAUAAAAACAUUCAUUUACCUAAUGAAACAAUCCCAGGAAAAAAAAAAAAGGGGUUUCUGUGGAUCAAGAUUUUUUUGUCUUCCUUAGAAUCAGAAGCAUUAGUUUUCUCUCUUGAUAUGUUUUUCAGUUCCAGCAGUCACGAUGUUCUUCAGCCUCUACAAGAGUGAGCAGUCUAAGGCCUUGUUUGGAUUGACUUUUGAUAAGCUUUUUUUCUUAUUUUUCAAUCUUAAUUUGUGCUUCUGCAGUGUUUGAUCGAUCUCUAUAUAUUAAAAUAACUUAUAACUUUGAAAGUAGAUUAGUACACAAGUAAGAAAAAUGUUAAAUAAACAUUUUAUUUUGAUUUAUAUUGAAAAUUAUUUUAUAUUUAAUAAAACUUUUAAAGUAUUAAUACUGUCUUUUAUCUUUAUGAUUUUAGUUUCCAACUUUUAGCUAAAAGCAAAACCAAAAGCUAUAUGUUUAAAGUUCAGUGCAAGCUCCAACCUUCCAUCACAAAAUAAUAAUAAUAAAAAUAGAUAAAUAAUAAAGUGAAUGAGAUGUAACCACUCACACCCAACUAUGUAUAUAUUGUACCUAAAGGGGGUUUCAUCUUAUGUGAGAUAUCAUAAAUACAUUUCAUGCAGAUAUAAUAUCCUCAUUCUAUCCCACAUGAUUAUAGGACCAAACAAACCUUCACAUCGGGGUUAAGAUUGGUUAUGAUAUUAUUUGUAAUAACCCGCAUCAAACCGUAUAAAUAUUGUAUGUUCUAAACCUAAAUGAGUCAUCAUGGUUUUAAAACGUGUCUAUAAUAUUAAAAAAAAAUUUAUAUUUAUAUAACACUAUAAACUUUCUCUCUCAUCCGAUAUAGGAUAUCACAUGAAAAAUAUAAAGUUAGUAAUAGUUUUCGAAAUCUAACCCUUUCUUCUUCUUAUCUUCCACUUUGUAGCAUGUAUCCACCUGUGUCAAAAUAUAUUUUUCUUUUACGUUCUACUUCAAUUUUGGAAAAUUUGAGAGAAAAUCGAUGAAAGUACAAUAAAAGGAAAAAAAUAGGAAACAAAAGUGAGAAGAAAAAAAAAAUUGAUAAUUUUAAUUGGACAUGAGCAAAUAACUCUGACCCUUUGAAUUUUUAGUUAAUUUCAAAUCAAAUGUAAGAAAAGCACAUAGUAUUUUUAGGAAAGAAAACAUUAUUAAUCUUUUAUCUAUUUAAAAUCAUGUAAUAAUUUUAAUUUUAAAAAAUUUUCAUUACUUUAGGGUAGAGUUAUGUAAUAAUUACAAAUCCCAUAACCUUUGUAUACAUAUAUAUAAUACGCUGAAUCCUAUUAAUACUAGGAUUUGACCUUUUAUUUUGAUCCAUUCGUGAGAAUAAUCAUUCCAUCACAUCAGUACUAUGUAUGGAAAAAGUUUUCUUUCUUUUGUUUUGUUUUUUGGUUUUUUUUUGGGUGUGGGGACUUCUGAGAAGAUAAUGUACCAUGAAUUUGCCUCAAUUGCAUGAGUUUUUUUUUAUAGUUUUUGUUGCCUAUGGGUUCUGGGUUAUACACAACUGAGGGAGGUUUAUGCAGGGUUUUGGUCAACAGAUAGGUUCUACACUUCACCAUUGUUUUCUUUUUUAAACGAACAAUAAAACAACCACCACUUCCUUGUUAAGCAUCAAUGGUUUAUUGGCUUCCCAUUUAUUUUUUGGUACUUUUUCUUUCUGGGCAAUCCUCUUUCUUUAUUCUCCUGGGUUUCUUUCUAGUUUCCUUUUAUUUUUUCUGGGAAGUUCUGAAUUAAACCACUUUCUUGAUAGGGAUUUUCUCUGGUGGCCUGAACACUUCUCUUUGUAGCAUUUUGUUACCAAGUUUCUGAUGAUGCAAGCGGUGGAAUAUGGUUUGUGAAUAUUUGAAAUUUUACUCUGUUUCAUGUGGAAUGCUGUUUUCCAUCUGUGGAAGAAUAUGGGCAAGGUGCCUCUCUCUGUGAUCUUCAGGGACACAAGGUAUUCAGUUUGAUAUAAUGUGAAUUCUUUGAUCUUUCAAGAUUUUUAGGGUUUUUGGCUUACUGCUGCUGGUGGGUUUCCUUCUCUUUUUUCUCAAAAUGAGAAUCAAUUACUUUGAAAAUUGGCAUUGGUUUGGUUUCAAUUUGAUGUGAAUUCUGUCUCCUUAUAUUGGUUCAAAAUGUUUCUCAUGAUGCUGCCCUAGGUUAUUGUAAAGAGGAAAAUAUGAAUAAUUGAUAUGUGAUCUAAUUUAUAACUCCACAAUGAAAUGGCUAGGAAUGUUUUUAAGAAGGAUGAGCUCGGUCUUGAGAUAGCACAGAUUGCAUUCCCGGCAGCAUUGGCUUUAACAGCAGACCCUAUUGCUUCUCUAAUUGACACAGCAUUCAUCGGUCAUAUAGGUUUGUAUUUGCCAUCUUCAUUCCAAUGGAAUUGAAUGCUCUAUUUUGCCUAAAUUUAAAAAUUCAGAAUGCCCCGAUUUUUAUGAGUUUUCAAGCCUGUUACUAAAAUUUUAUUACUACUUGCCCCUUCAAUAUAUGAUUUCUGUGUAUAAUCCUUACAGGUGCUGUGGAGCUGGCUGCUGUAGGAGUCUCCAUUGCUGUGUUUAAUCAAGUAUCGAGAAUUGCCAUUUUCCCCCUUGUCAGUAUUACAACUUCUUUUGUUGCGGAGGAAGAUACCGUUGGAAGACGGACAAAUGAAAAUUUGGAAAAGGGUUUAGCUAUAGACAAUGAAAUGGAAGAGUUGAUACCGCAUAUUGGUAAGCAUUCCCUUUUCGUUGUUGUAGGGACUUCAUUAUAACUGCAUUUUUGUAGGGACUUCAUUAUGUUUUUUUUCCACGGCUUCUUGAAUACUCCCAGUAUUUGAAACAUGUUUUUGAUUCCUGAUGAUUUUUGACAGAUUCUAUGCACAAUUCACCGUCCAGAACUGUAAAUAAUACAAAAAAUAUGGAAUUUGAGCAUGAGAGAAGGCAUAUCCCAUCAGCUUCAUCAGCAUUAGUGAUUGGUGGUGUGCUUGGCCUCAUCCAAGCUCUGUUCCUUAUUUUUAGUGCAAAAUCGAUUCUCAACUUCAUGGGUGUAAAUUCUGUAAGUUUCCUUGUAAUAAUAGCUUAAUGCUUUACUUGUUUAAAUGAAGUUCAUUUCUCAAGGGAAAAAACGAAUCCCACCUAAGUGGAAACGGCAUAUUAUUAACUAAUCCCAGUAAAACAGGAGUUAGCAGAUCUAAUUAUAAUAAAAAUCAGUGACUGUUCAUCACGACCCUUAAUGAGUUUGUCAUCAAUUUACUAAGGUUUCUUCAUAAAUUCUUUUGGGCAUUGUAUCUGACUGUGAGUUCAUAUAAAUUUGAUUUAACGUUUAUAGAUGCGAAUUAUCAGCUUCACCUUGAAUUUGAAGGACUAGAGAAAAAGGAUCCCUAAAGCUUUAGGUUUGUGGAUCCUUGGUUUUUCUUAUGAUAAAUUUUGCAGAAACUUGAAAAUUGUUUAAACUCCUGCCUAUUUUCUUAAUUAUCAACCAGGUUUUUUUAUUACAAUAAUUUGAGUUUGGAGUGGGAUAGAUUCCAAUUCCUUAUAUUGAAUUGGUGUAGAGAUAUAUGUAUUUGAUUGGCCUGCAAUAGCAUUUUGGUUAAUGGAAUCUUAAGGUUUCAAAUAUUUAAAACUUCAACAAAUUAAUCCCAAUCCCUGAAUGUUGAUUCAAAUUCAAAGUUUCCUACCGGGCAUUCAUUUGUAAUCUCUAAUUUCUUGUCUACCGAACAAUAACGAUAGGUAUCUUCUCCAAAUAGGGUUCUCCAAUGCUAGCACCAGCAAUGCAGUACUUGACAUUGAGGUCACUUGGAGCUCCUGCUGUUCUUCUCUCUUUGGCCAUGCAAGGGGUGUUUCGAGGAUUUAAAGAUACAAAAACUCCUCUAUAUGCUACCAGUCAGUGGAGCUUUCUUGUCCCAAAGUAUUUUAUCAGUUGCAUUUCUGCUACACUUGCAUUUCCCUCGGGAUGAUUGUGACAUAUAAAUCUUCUUUUCCUGUCCAAACACUCCCUAAUUACUUAAAAGACAUUUUGCUAGGGUGCUAGGGAAGCAACAGUAACUUCACCAUCCAUAAUUCGUUUGUUCCUUUUUGUAUUGCUACCCUUUUCUAACAUGUUAAAAGAUAAACUAGUCAUGUACAUAAUUUUUAAGUCAUUUGUGUGUGUUUGUGUGCUUUUUUGGUGGGGGAUAAGGGGUCUUAAAUCUUAACAUUCCGUUUUCCCACUCUACUUUUAAGUAUGGCAGUACCUCACUUUGUGAAACAAAAGGCAAGUAAUUUUUGCAUAUAUAUGUGGACUUCAAAUGGAGUCUCUUAAAAAAAAGGAACUCAACUAGACGAGUUUAAUUGUUGAAUGAGUCUCACUCUGAAGAAUGCUACCCUUGAACAUCUGCAAGGGUAAAUCAUCAAGGUGGCUGAGAGAAUCACCUGAGCAGGUUGCUUGUCGGUUGAAGAAAUAUUCUAGACAAGCUGGCAAAUUGGACUUAUAUGCUUUAACCUAUAAGUGUAGUGAUAAAUGGACUGCUCACUCUGCUUAUGCACAUGCACUCACAGGCAAGUACUUGCAUAGGGGCAUGCAUGUGUAUACUCGUACUUUAUGUAUUCAACUACUCAAGGGACUGCCUGAAUUUUAAGCAGGGAGAAACAAUGCCUGCGCAUUUCUUGUUUUCUAUAUGAAGAAAAUGAACCAUUCGUCUUUGUUUGCAUUUACAUUGAUGGCAUCAACAUUUCAUUCAGUUGUUUACUUUAUCUAAUGCAGUACUGGGAGAUGUGGCGAACAUCAUUUUAGAUCCGAUCUUGAUGUUUGUAUUUCGCUUAGGUGUUAGUGGUGCAGCCAUUGCCCAUGUAAUUUCUCAGUAAGUUGUGUCUUUCUGAUGUCCAAAAUUCGUCUUCAAUUAAUUGCCCUGGUUUCUGAUUUACUUCUCUUCAACAUCCUUUUGAUCCCUGAAGAUUCUGGAUGUCUUUGCUUCUGUUCCUCACUUGGUGAAUGGUCAUUAUAGGUACCUAAUCUCAGUGAUACUCUUGUGGCGAUUGAUGAGAAAAGUUGAUCUCCUACCUCCAAGCAUCAAAGAUCUACAACUUGGUCGCUUUCUUAGAAAUGGUGAGGGUUCUAGCUCCUCAUCAGUAAGUACCCUGCUGGUAUUUAUUACCUUUUACAAUGAUGUAUGCCUAUCAUAUAUUGACUAUUCCAACAGUUAAGGCAAUGCUUCAGCAACACUUACUGAAUUCUAGUUAUAUAUAUUUGUAUGUCAGUUAUCACAAAUCAAUAUAACCUAUAGCAAUUUGAUGCCAUAAAUUUUUUUAUUUGAUGCAGCCAUAUGUAACACUGCUUCAAUCUUUAAAACCUCAGUAUUUUGGGUCGUCUAAAAAUGUAGAAAUUUGGAUGAUAUCUGAUUAGGGCAGAGGACAUAGAAUUGAUUAUUAUGCAAACUGAAAAUCAUUGAUGAAAUGUAGCUCUGAUCCCUGGCACACAUUGUAUAGCUUUGUUUUAGUUACAGUACAGAAUUGUUUAGUAUAUGGGUUCACAUUAACCUAUUGUGUUACUCUGCUUUGUGUUCUUCCACUCAGGAUCCCUGCUAUUAGUGAGGGUAAUAGCUGUGACAUUCUGUGUGACACUGGCCGCAUCUUUGGCUGCCAGGCUGGGAUCAACCUCCAUGGCUGCAUUCCAGGUUUGUUUGCAGAUCUGGCUGGCAACCUCUUUGCUUGCUGAUGGGUUGGCUGUCGCUGGACAAGUAAGAAAUGGAUCUUCUACUCGAAUGUAGUAACCCGGAUAUACAAUUUUAAAACUAACCUAGACCAACUCCUGACCUUUAUCGAGAAGCCAGUGUUAAGAGCUAAUAAAGGAAAUGGCCUUUGCUCUUUGAGCGUAUUUUGGAAUGUCCUUGAUUAAAUUUGCUCAGCAUCUGUUUCUUAAGCAUGUUUUAAUUCUCAACUUCUUGUUUAACGGAUUAGUGGGCUUUCAUUUUCUAGGCAAUCCUUGCAAGUGCAUUUGCCAAAAAGGAUUAUGACAAGGCAACUGCUACUGCUUCUCGUGUACUGCAGGUGCACCAAUUUUUUUUAACAAGAGUAUUUUUCAUUUUUCUCUUUUCAUGUUCUAAAUUGUAUUCCGUUUUCUUCUGCAGUUGGGUUUGGUUUUGGGCUUGGUGCUUUCUGUCUUCCUUCUAGUUGUGUUACAGUAUGCAUCAAGAGUAUUUACCAAAGACGUCAAUGUUUUGCAGCUAAUGAAUCUAGGCAUUCCGGUAUCUCCCUCCCUCUCCAAAAAUAAAAUAUCAUCGUUCCUUUCUGUUUACUGGAUUUUGGAUCAUCUAUGAGACUAAUUUGUUUUAUUUUUUUCUCAUUAGUUUGUUGCAGUGACUCAACCCAUCAAUGCUUUAGCUUUUGUAUUUGAUGGAGUCAACUUUGGAGCUUCCGAUUUUGCAUAUUCUGCCUGUUCUAUGGCAAGUUUAUAAGCCCUUGGCUGCUCCCUGGAUCACAUGCAUAUAUAUAUAUAUAUAUAUAUAUAAGCAUAGCUCAUAGACAUCAAAGGGAGAGUCCAUAUCAAAUUACAUUUAAUGUUAUUCUUAAACCCCUAUUUAACUUUUUCAUGAGGUCCAAAGGUCAUGAAACCCGCUUCGUCCCCAUACUUGUCAUGCUUGCCAAAUAUCAAGUAACAUCAGCAGAUUUCCAAUCCAUAACCUCGUGUUUCAUCUUAUAUAAAAAAUUCAAAUUUAGAGCUGGUAUACGAAUGUGUGAUUGCUCUUAUUCUUCUGUCAAAAUUGAUAUUAGUACUAUAUUCCACUUGGUUUUCCCAUCAACCAAACACUACUCAUGCAAGAUCACCAUAGUGAACUGUCUCCCUUUUGUUCAUUUUUUUCCCGUUGUUUUCCACCAGGUUUUGGUAGCAAUAGUGAGCAUCCUGUGCUUGUUUAUUCUAUCCUCAAGUCUCGGUUUCAUCGGUAUUUGGAUUGCUCUAUCCAUCUACAUGAGUUUGCGCACAAUGUCCGGCUUUUGGAGGUAAUAUCUCAUGUCCAUUGGUCUGUUGGAGCUAAUUUCCAUAUCAUGUUCAAGUAUGAAAGUAGAGUUCAUUUUUUCCUCUCAAACUGCUGUGUUUCAUUUACAUUUAUACACCAAUCUUUGCAGGAUAUGGACUGGCUCCGGACCUUGGAGCUUCCUCAGGGCCUGAGAGCUUGAUUACAGAUUUCUCUAUUUUCUUGACGCUUUAUUUAACCAUGUCACACUUCAUAUUUUACCAUUCUUUUCGUUUGAUGAUGAUGUAAUGAGCUAAAACAGACUUCUCAUCGCUGAUUUGCUUUUGUAAUAAUACACACAACUUAUUAAGGGCCUGUUUGUUAUAGCGUUUGACUUCUGCAUUUUACUCGUCGGAAAAAUAGAAGUAGAAGGAAUUACUAUUUAAAUUAUGUGAAUUGUCAAACAAUGUCUCUAGCAUUUGACAAGCUCCCACAAACAAGGCUUCAAAUUGGUGCAAUAUUCAUGGAAAAGAAGUAGAAAAUACCAUAACUCUAGAAAAAGUUGCUCUUCAAAAUUUCUCGUACCUGUCUCUAGUCUCGUCCUUUUUAAAAAAAAAAUGUUUUAAAUGUGUAAUUUAUUUUUCUGAGAAUUAGAUUUUUUUUUUAUUUGUAAAAAGAAGAAGAAAAAAAUUAUUUAAUUACAUAUAUAAUUAGGGUAGGGCUUGACAUAACAAGAUAAUAUCUGAACGGGUCUUAAAUUUUCGAACCUGUAGUUAACUUGUUUGUCCUUAUUUUGAACUCGUCUUUGAUGGUGGAGUCAUUGUGGGCUUGGGGCACACCUCCUUCCUCAAAAUUUUACAACAAUAGUAUCCUUUUAUUUAUUUAAGAAUUUAAAAAAUAAAAUAAAAAAUAUAAGUUUGCACCCCUAAGAAAAUAAUUUUAUAUAAGAAAAAAGAAUUAUAUAGAAUAAAAAAAUUAGGUGAAUAUGGAUACUAAAUAGAUUUUAUAAAAUGUUUAUUUUUUAAAAUUUUUUAUUAAUAUUCAUAAUAUUAAUUUUAUUUGAAUCCUAAUAUACAUUACAAAAUAAAUUCUAAUAAAAUAUUUUUUUGUGAUUUUUAUUAGAUAUCACUCUUAAUUGAUUUUGUAUUUAAUUAUUUCAAAAAAGUCUACAAAUAUAUUAGUAAAAUUCAAUAAUUUUUCUAAAUUUUUAUAGAAAAAAUUCUGCAAAAUCAUUAAAAGUUUUAUAGUCAAUUUUUUUUUCCCUAUUUUUUAUGUUUAAUUUGAUGUACUGCAAUUUUUUUUUGUUUGUGAUUGACAUCUAUAAUUAUUUAUUUUAUUAUGAAAUAUGAAAAUUUAUAUAUAUAUUUAUUAUAAUCCAUAAUUUUUCUACUUCAUCCCCUAAUAAAAUUUUCAAACUUCAUCAUUGAUUCACUACUCCUCUUAUCAUAAACAAGGCGGGUAUUUGAAAAACCCUACACCGUUGAUAUUCCUAGUCUUUUUAGAUGUUCAUUUCAUUUUAACGGUUCAAAGGGAACAUGGCUCUACAACAUCUCAUUCACUACAAUGCCAUUGUUGUCACUUGCCAUUGAGAUAACCAAAGUCUAAACAUUUGAAGAUAGUAUGAAUGUGCAUCUAGCAGGCAUUAUUUUAGAUACAGCCCUUGUAGGGUAAAGUUUGGUUGUUUGGUGGGGAUGAUGGUUCACAUUCCUAUCAACAACAAACUUUGUUUGGUUGAUGCACACAAAGCUGCAACCCCAUUAAAGGUUGGCUGCAAACCCCAUUACUAUAUUUGCACACAAUUUAAAUGCUAGAAGCAAGAACAAGAAAGGAAAAGAAAAAAAGAUAUAUAUAGAAUGAUAUGUGGGUGAUGAUGGCUAAAUACCAACAUUUCAUGACUGGUGACUCAUUUCCCAUGCCCUUUGGCUUUUUCUUUACAACUAAUAUCAUACUCUAGGAAGGCCUCUGAUUUGGACAUCCUCUGUUUCUAUUAGUGAAUAAACCACCAAACACACUCAGGGUCACUUUGAAGGAGUAAAAAAUUUGAUCCCUUCUUGCUUUUUUUUUACCUUUUUCUUUUGAGAUGGGGUUGAUCAGAAGUGGGGUUUCUCAACUUGGAAUUCUCUUUAAAAACUUAGCUACUGAGGGAGUUGGAGAAAGUGUAGCAUUUGAAUAUGAUAUCUUUCAGUUCACCCCAUGUAGUUUGAAAUGAAUAUGAAGGCUUUUUUUAAGUGGGGUUUAGGCCACCAAAUCCUUAGACACACCUGAAGUCUUAAAAAAAUUUAAUGCUCCUGCCCUGGUGAUUAUUGUUUGGGUCAUGGCAAACCACCAUGCCUACCUCCUACCCCACCUCUCAUCACCAAACAAUUUCAUCUAAUUUAAGUAGUUUCAGCAAUAACAUUUAUGAUGACGAUUUUUUCCUUUCUUUAAUCUUUGUGGAAUAUUCGUGAAAGUCAUUUAUUUGUAUCUAAAUCUCAUUUCUUUAUACUAAUUACAUACAUCAAUGAUUCACAUGGGAGUUUGGAUAUGAUUACUUUGAGCUAUUUUAGCAUUUUCCUACUCAUAGACUCCUGAUAGAAUCCAAUUUUGAUAUCAAAUCUUUGGAAAAGAUGUAAUAAGCUAGUUGGUACCCUUAAUCUGAACUUCAAUAAUGGGCAAGAAGAUCCCUCAAAGCUGUAAACAACAUUUUUCUAAAUCAAGUAGUUAGGGCUCCAAAAUUCAAUCCUACCAUUAGAGGAGAAUUCAAUUUGAACAAUUAAGCCUCAAAUGGCAAUCAAGACCAUCAUCUGCCACUAGAUUUUUUUAAAACUUAAUUUGAAGGAUAUUAUUCAUCCACCAUACACCAUUUGCCUUAGACAAGACAUGAGGGUGGUGUUUUCAUGGACAUUUAAACAUAUACCCAAUUGGGCAAAUCUCACCCACAUUACCCAUUCUCAAUCCAUCAACUCCUCCCCACUAUGCUUAUCAAUCUCAACAACUAACAUCUCCCAUUCCCCCCCUCCCCUUACAAUCUAUAAUAAUACAAACACAUUGUCCUCAACACCACCAUUUCACUAUGAAGAUUGAGCCAAUUUUGUUGAGGUAGCCAGGUUGUAAAGAGGAAGAUGGUAAUACCCAUUACCCACCUUUUUCUUUUUCCCAAUUUGAUCAAAAACAGGAAAUGUGUGAGAAAAGAAAGAUGGAAAAAAACUUAUUUUCUUAUGUAUAAUUGGUCUCUCUUUUUCUUUUUCUUUUUGUUAAAAAUUGAAAGAGGCAAACAAGGAAAAGAGGAAAUAUCAAAAGAAAAAUUUUGCAAACUCUCUUUCAUUAUUGUUUUUUUGCUCAUUUGAUGUCCCAAUCAAAUACCACAUGUUCUUACACAACCAAACAAAGCAUAUAACGACACCAUAAGAAUCAAUCUUCAAUACCUAAACUAGUGAGUAUAAAAUAAUGCGGGAAUAAAAAAGCUACUUAGGAAAGAAACAAUUGUCCAACGCCAUGGUGUUUUCUUUCCUUCCUUUUUCUCUCCUUCCCCUCUUGUGCAAGUAGUUUUCCCGUUUUGGUCAGUGAAAUUUUGAAAAGACAAAAAGGUCAAGAAAAAAAAAAUAAUAGAGAGAGAAAAAUCACCAUCAACAUAGCCACCGAAAGGUGAGGGUUGAGGUGGUAUCAAGUCCACCACCACCCCAUUUUCCUAUUAAAGGAAAAAGCAAAAAUAGCAAAAAGAACUUGAAUUCCUUUUUCCCCCCUUUAAACCUUUUUUACAUGUGUAUUAAUACAGACCUGAACAGUGAACAAUAUAAAAGCACCACUCUCCACCACACCCCACUACCACCAAGAAGAAAGUUAAAAAAAGAAACAACCAAAUGGAGGAUGAAAUAGACAGGAUCCAUCAGAUUCAAUGCAACCCACAAAGCUCCAAUGCUCAGAUCAGUAAGAAAUAGAUGGCAGAUCAAUGAGAGGAUGUUUGGGGCAUAAAGGCAUUUAAAGUAAAUGAUAUUACCUUUUUCUAAAUUACCAAAGAUUUUUUUUUUUCUAAAGUCACUUUUCUUGGGUGUUUGAAAAGAAUAACUUAUCUACAUGUGUUAUAAAUAUGGCAGCAUCAGAUGAGGAAUAUCAUUACUCUAAAGCUUUCAUCUCAUCAUCUUAAAAAGUAAGAUUUCAUAAAUUCAAGGCAAUAAAAAUUGUACCAAGCAUAUGAUCUUCUCUAAAAAAGAGUGAAAAAGAAUCUAAGCAAAAUAACCUUUUUUUUUCCCCACAUGACCAUAUCCCAUAUUCCACACAAUCCCAAAUCCCACUAGUGAGAUUUGGAAUCCACACCACAGCACAUGUUCCCAUGCCUUGAUAAUAAUAAGUAAUAACCCACAAAUCAGAACAAAAUGGGAAUAGAGAGCAUCUAAAAAGCACAUCAGAAGCAAAUAUAAAGUACCCACUUCAUUCAUUAGCAUGAAGUGAAUUCAAUUCCUUAUAUUUACACAUAAAUACAGCAUAAGGAGUAUGAGGAAAGAAGAAGCUACAUAAUAUAUCAAAGGGGGACGCAUAAAAAGAUGCCUUUCAUUAUAAACAAUACCAUUAGAGCCAAGGGUAAUUGGAUGAUCACAGCAGUGAACUUUAAUAAAAUGGUACAUCAUUGGGGGAACAUUGUAUCUCCCACUUCCUAUCCUUCCUCCUUCCACAGUUUAUGGCACCCAAAAUUAUUGACUCAAAAUUACAAUAUCAUCAAUAGUACUCGUCUCAAAUGUAUCUUCCUUUCCCUUUUCUUCAAAAAAUUGGAACGGACCACACCAUUACAGACUCUUCAAGAGGAACUCCAUCACCCUACUCCAUUUUUCCCAAAGAUAAUAAUGAAUUCAAGGAAAUCAACCCAAUAGACACAAGUCUACGGUUUCAUUCCAAUGAAACAUGUAGCUGAUCAACAUAGAAGCAAAAAAAUUGUUGAUAAGAGAGACCUAAAUGUUUAAAUAUUGUGGGAGAAACACCUUAAUUGGGCUCCAUUUUUUGAAUAUACCCAGAGGUUUUUUCUCACCCUUUCUGACUUCUGUAGUAACAAUAAAUGGUGAAAAUGAAUUUCCUUUCUGAAUUUUUUAACUUCCUUUCUUUCCCCCCUCUGCCUUCCUCUUUCGUUUCUGGUACCUUCUGCUCCAUCCACCACCAAUAAAACCCAAAAAAGAACAAGUUAUGUACCGAAACCUUUAUAUAGUUCACUGGCUGAGGGACUCAGUAAACAUGCAUUUUAGUUUACUGAGCCACGAGCUGAUCGAGCUGCAUCUGCUCAAGCCAUGCCCCAAGAACAGCAUGGUCGAUUGAUUCAAUUUGAGAAUUCAAAUUGGAACCAUCACUGGAUGAUGAAGCCUCAGCAGUGUCCAAGGCAGGUGUUGCCGCCUUCUCUUUGGUCUCCGUAGGAGAUUCUUUGACGAGUGAUUGAACCCAUGAUAGAUCAGGCUCUUCUCCAUUGUUCCCAAGCUCAAAUGAAUUUGAUCUUCUGUGCCCACCCAACUCAUUUGCAUUCAUUGCCCAGUCGGGCUUAACGUUGGAGGAUCCCCAUUUUGACCAGGAAUUUAUGGGUGAACCAACAAUGGCAGAGGAGUUAGAGCCAAGGUCCCGAGAGCUCAGGCUACGAAACUGUUGUUGUUGCUGCUUCUCACGUUGAGCAAACAUAGAGGCCCGAGAGCUCAUUGGCGAGAUAGGUUCCAUACUUCGCGGGGACAUCCUCCCCGAGGAAGCAAAGGAGGCCUGCAACAAAGGAUGGUCAACAUUUUUUGGGGAAAAAUUUGUGUUGAUUGGCGAUAACAUGCUCUGCUGCUGCUGAAAUUGAUUUAGAACCGCUGAUUUAUGCGUUGGGGAGUAAACAGCAGAUGCCAAUGCUUGAUCAGAGUACCGAGGAGAUGAGCUCUCAGCUGAAAAGAGCUCAUCAAGGUUUGAGGGGGUUAGGGUUUUUGACCGUCCAGAACGGUUCAAAGAAUUAGAGUUAACACAUGGUUGAGAGAGGCAAGACAGUUCAUUUAGCAGUUGAUGUUGCUGUAUAUCAAAAUCCAGCAUCAAAUUGAUGUCUUCAGCUGGGAUGUCCCUUGCAUUAAGGGAUGAUCUCAAGCGGCUGGACUGAAGAUUGCUACCAGGGAGAUGCAAGGUUGGAACAUUUGGUUGGGCCCAACCCAUGGAAGAGUGUGAAACACCAUUGGCCGAUGGAGACAAUGGGGGGGUGAA
rnacentral:lncRNA from 1 species